UUUGAAAUCAAAUCAAAUCUUUCUAUUAUUGAAAGCAAAUACAUUUUGAAUUAGUAAAUUACAAACAAAAUCAGUCUAGAUACAAUCAAAUCCCAAACAUUAAACCUUUUUCUAAACAAAAUCAAAACUUAAUUAAAAUUAAAAUCUGAAUCAUAACCAAUCAAUCGAAAACUUCCUAAAGUUACAAAUCACAAUUAAAACCUAAAACCUAAAUUAAUCUAUAAAUAAAAGAGGAAUUAAUAUGAAGAAGGGGCGAGAAAAACCCUAAGGAUCAUCUCCAGCAACCGCGUUUCUGUAAUCCUUGAAACCUCACCAAAGCUCCGAUCAAACAGAAGUUAAGGUUUAAUAUCUAAACCCUAACUCUCUUGAGCUAAGCCUGGAUCCAGGAACCUCACACAAAGGAUAAUAGAGAGGAAAUCAGAAAGAGAAAGAGGAGUAAUCGAAUCAAAAGAAAAAGAAGGGAACAUAUCUUACCUCAUCGCUGAAAUAAAAAUUCAUUCCAUAUGCUGGGCUUUGUAAUCUCAUUAUUGCGUUAAAUUGUUGUUUGUAUGGAUAUGUUGUGGAUUCGAAUCAUGUCUGAUUUUGGGGUUUCUGGGAAAUUAGGGUUAUGGUUCAUCAUAGGUUAGGGUUAGGGUUCUACCUACAUAGGGUUAGGUUUCAUCUGGGUAAGGGUGGGGUUCUUCCAAGAACCCUUAGGGUUCGUGAGAACCCAACUAGGAUUCUCGAAUGUUAAGGGUUUCUAGGCUUUGGAUGAGUUAGGGUUCAUCUCAGGAACCCUAGGGCUCAUCUGGAGAACCCAGGUUGAAGGAAUGAGGAGAGGGUUCUGGAAAUUUGUUUGAAUAUUUGAAUUUUCCGGUUGAAGUUCAACUGGAAAAUUGGAGGAAGCAGUGGUUUGGACGGUGGGGGUGAAGAACAUGGGGCGGCCGAAGGGGAAGAUGGUUGAGAGAAUAGAGAGAGAACCAGAGAUAAGAGAGAGAGAGAGAGAAAAGGAGAAAGUGAGAGAUUGUGAAGGGAGCGUGUUAAUAUACCCCCAUGGGAUCACGCAGAUGCGUGCCAAGUGACGCUCUAAGGAGAUCCAGAUUGGUUGACCACCCUAGUCAACCAAAGAUCUGGUACGCGCGUGUAUACAGUGGUCCCCUAUUGACUUUAGAUUUAGACCUAUUGAUCUACGUACUUUGACCAGUCAACCUGAUCAAAGACAGUGGCUUCACAUUAUACUCCCCCUCAGAUCAUGAUCAGAUGGUGCAGAGAGAGUCAAUAGUUGACUUUCCAUCACCGUGGGCUCUGUCUCACAAAUGACCGUCAGAGUCUUGGUGGACUGUUGCCCUUGUUGCUCACCCCCCCCCCCCCCCCCCCCCCAAGUGUUGGCCCAUUUGUUUGUUCCUUUCCAAAUACAACCCCCUUUCAUUUAUUUAUUUAUUUAUUUAUUACUUAAUUAAUUGUAAAUUUUGAUUUAUCCAUUUGAUCUUUUAGUUAACUAAUUACUUAAUUAAUUAUAAAUUUCUCCAUUUUUAUUAACUAAUCACUUAAUUAAUUAUUAAUUUUUCAUUUAAUCUUUUAAUCAAUUAAUUACUUAAUUAAUUAUAAAUUUUUCCAUUUUUAUUUUAAUUUUUUUAAUCACUUAAUUAAUCAUUAAUUUUUCAUUUGAUUUGUUUAUUAAUUUAAAUUACUUAGUUAAUUAUUAAUUAAUAUGUAUCUAUUUAAAUCUUAAUUCGAAUAAAACAAAAAAAAAUCUUGGUUAUCUUAAUUUUUGAUAUGUUAAUUAAGUGUGAUGAUAAAAUUUUAAGUGAUUAGAUUUUUAUCAUUUAUAUUAGGAUUAAUUAAAUCAUGAAUUAUGGGAUAAAAUCGAGGAUGAUACUUAGGGUUUUAUGGGGUUGUAAAAAUGGGAUAAAAUCGGGGGAAAUGAUAUAUUUUAUGCCAUCUUAUUUAAAGUAUUAUCUUUAACUUGAUUUAUUUUAGUUAUAUUAUAUUUAAUAUAUCGUUAUUGAAUAGUACUCUCAAGUUAAAACGAGAUAAGGACAUGUGGUACGAUUUGGGGAUAAAGGGGUUAUCAAAGAUUAAAUGGGAUAAAGGAUUAUCAUAUAACUAUGACUCUUACUUUAUUUUCUUAAACAAUUUAAAAGGAGAUUUUUGCAAGGGACAAAAGGUUAAAAUCAAUUCAACUUCACUUCAAACCAUAAGACCUCUAUCCUAACGUAUUGGGGCACUUUCUAAAAACACUUCUCCGCCUCCGAUGCAUGAGAGUUUUCAAUGGAUAAAAAUAACCAACCUACCAACAUUUUACAGAAGAACUACGGUACUCUGAUCAUUCGUAUAAUACGGAGGUACGUAGGCAUAGAGUCAUAAACUCUAGCGAGUACAAUUAUAAAAACAUUUGCUUAGGUCUCUUGCUCAUUUGAAUGUAACAUGUUCUAUAAAUAAGUAGAUAAAUAAUUAAUAAAUACUAAAGUAAACACCUUAGAAACAUACACUGACCCUAGAAUUGCAGGAGGAUCCCAUUGAAUACAAUGGAGGUAAGGGGUGUCUAACACCUUCCCCUUACCUAACUGACUCCCGAACCCAAUAUCUCAACUAAACUAUUAGAUUUUAUCAUUAUUUUCCUGUUCUUUUGAAAACAAAUAAAGGAUGGUGGCGACUCUGUCAUUUUUCCAGCCGCGACAGCAGACAUCAAAUAGGAGUAAUCUGUUAACAAUAUUUAAUAGACAUUGUUGUUUUUAUAAACGGAUUUUUUUUUUAUUAUUGAUCCAAAUAUUUUUAUAAACGAUGCAAAAUUAAACAUAAUGUUCAUAUAUAAAAUAAUGUGAUUCAAAGGAUAUUUUUAGUACAACCUCAAUAAAAUAACAACUUCUCACAUUUGGAAAAAAAAAUACACGUAGUAGAUCAGAACCCGUACAUCCGCAUAUGUGUUUUUCUAGUUACAUAAUAUAUUGAAAUUUACAAUUCAGUUCACAAUGAUAUUUAGUGGAAGUAACAUGUAAAUGGACACUUUCAGGAACUGUAGUACCAAGCCGGGAAGCACAAACCGUAGUAUCAAGUCGGGAAGAAAAUGUGACACAUCUCUGCUCCGACAAAGAUUCUGACAAAAGUGCAUCUCAGAUUAAUGUGUGGCAAAUAAAAAAAGCAUAUGAACAACUAAAAAAGGGGAGCCAAAAUGUGAAAACCUCAAAUUCAACUUUCAUUUGCCCCUACUGUCCUAAUAGNNNNNNNNNNNNNNNNNNNNNNNNNNNNNNNNNNNNNNNNNNNNNNNNNNNNNNNNNNNNNNNNNNNNNNNNNNNNNNNNNNNNNNNNNNNNNNNNNNNNNNNNNNNNNNNNNNNNNNNNNNNNNNNNNNNNNNNNNNNNNNNNNNNNNNNNNNNNNNNNNNNNNNNNNNNNNNNNNNNNNNNNNNNNNNNNNNNNNNNNNNNNNNNNNNNNNNNNNNNNNNNNNNNNNNNNNNNNNNNNNNNNNNNNNNNNNNNNNNNNNNNNNNNNNNNNNNNNNNNNNNNNNNNNNNNNNNNNNNNNNNNNNNNNNNNNNNNNNNNNNNNNNNNNNNNNNNNNNNNNNNNNNNNNNNNNNNNNNNNNNNNNNNNNNNNNNNNNNNNNNNNNNNNNNNNNNNNNNNNNNNNNNNNNNNNNNNNNNNNNNNNNNNNNNNNNNNNNNNNNNNNNNNNNNNNNNNNNNNNNNNNNNNNNNNNNNNNNNNNNNNNNNNNNNNNNNNNNNNNNNNNNNNNNNNNNNNNNNNNNNNNNNNNNNNNNNNNNNNNNNNNNNNNNNNNNNNNNNNNNNNNNNNNNNNNNNNNNNNNNNNNNNNNNNNNNNNNNNNNNNNNNNNNNNNNNNNNNNNNNNNNNNNNNNNNNNNNNNNNNNNNNNNNNNNNNNNNNNNNNNNNNNNNNNNNNNNNNNNNNNNNNNNNNNNNNNNNNNNNNNNNNNNNNNNNNNNNNNNNNNNNNNNNNNNNNNNNNNNNNNNNNNNNNNNNNNNNNNNNNNNNNNNNNNNNNNNNNNNNNNNNNNNNNNNNNNNNNNNNNNNNNNNNNNNNNNNNNNNNNNNNNNNNNNNNNNNNNNNNNNNNNNNNNNNNNNNNNNNNNNNNNNNNNNNNNNNNNNNNNNNNNNNNNNNNNNNNNNNNNNNNNNNNNNNNNNNNNAUAUAUAUAUAUAUAUAUAUAUAUAUAUAUAUAUAUAUAUAUAUAUAUAUAUAUAUAUAUAUAUAUAUAUAUAUAUAUAUAUAUAUAUAUAUAUAUAUACACACACACACACACACAAGUUAAAAUUUAAAUUAAGUAAAGUUAUAGUUUAUCUUUCAAAGGAACUUUACCAACAUCAAUUAAGCAUGAGAUGUCAAGUAUUAUAUACUUGCCCUCAUUGGAAACAAGAACUUCAUGCAGAAUUUGAAAAUGUGUUUAUGAGAUGUGUAUUUGUUGGCAAACAAAUUCAAUAGAAAAACAGAAUUUGAAAGUGUGUCUUUAGAUGUGCCACGUCAUAAAAUAAUGACAAAAUUGGAAUUACAUGACCCAAAAAUAUGACACGUGGCUCUAGAAUUUGUGUAUCUGUUUUAAUAUAUUAUAAAUAGGAUUUAAUUGAAGUAAUAACUUACCCUCUUUUUUCUUUCAAUUUACAAAUAUGGGACUCAGCAAACCUUAUUUUUCUUCCUUUUUUUUAUAUAUCUAAAACAAAAUCUAACUCCUUAGUGCAACAUUGAUGACACAAACUGAAUCCAAAAACAUAUUACCGACAUAGAUAUUCCCAAGUCUCUCUCAAACCAAAUCUUAGAUGUAAUUGGAAUGGGAUCUCAUUCACUAAUAGAGUGGAUGAUGCCUUUGCUCCACACUGAAACAUCUAAGCCAAAAUACCAACAAAAAAGAAAAAGAUUCUAUCCAAUUAUCGAAUGUUCCUACGCACUCCAAACUAAAUAUACCAAAAAAUAUUUGUUUUUAAUGCUUAAUGAAAAGAUAAUAAGAUCACACUUUUCGUGUAUAUCAUUACUUUUUAGUAAAGUCUCACAUUGAUAUUGAUAUUGCAGAAGUGUUACACUCAACACAAUUUUUAGGAUAAUAUUAACGUAUAUCUUACGUAACAGCCACUAUGGUUGUGUCGUUUUUGGAUAUUCAUGAUGAUAAGAUGUGUUAGAAUCCUACAAUUAAAUAGUGAAAUCUUAAGAGUAUUUUUUCAAAGUUUUGGUUCAACAGGAUUGUGACUUCAAAGGUGAUUUUUGAAAAGGAAGUGCAAUGAAUGAAAUAUAAAGUUGUUAGAAAGUAAAGAUUUUGAAAACUAAAUACUUGAAAAAGAUUUAUUUGAUUUGAAAAAAGGUUGGUUAAAAGUUGGUGUAGGCUUAUGAAUUUUUGUAUGGAUUUGUAUGUUGAAAAAUAUCAUUUUAUAUCAUAUCAUUAUAGGAGAAAUAUGUAGUUCAUUUGAUUUGAAUGAGUUAAACUAAGAGUUAAAAGAGUUAGAAGUUUCGUAGCACCGACACUUUUAAAAAAAAUAUGUCAGACUCAAUUAUUUGUGAUUAAUUUAUUUAUUUAUUUUAAAUUAUUAUUAAAGUUGACUUGUCAGCAUCAGCAUCAUUAAAUGUUGGUGAAGAACUUAAUCACAACUCUUGAUAUAAUUAUAUUGUCUUCUUUACCAAAAAUAAUAAAAUGACUUUCGCUUCUAAAAACAUAAGGAUUAAGUUCUUGGUUGUUUGAGAAAUAGUGGAAAAUAACAAAAUUGAGAUUGAGCAUAUAUCCACUUAAGAAAUGAUUAUGGAUCUCCUGACUAAGGGGCUUAGGUUUGUUAUACUUACAAAGCAUGUUGAAAAUAUGAGAAUUGUAAAAUUUUAUGAUAUAUUUACUUAGUGGGAGAAUAGAGGAAAAUGUGUAUAUAAUAUAUUCUUUUUUUUGAAAUUAAUAAAGUUGUUCAUAUUUUCUUUUAAUUUUUUUUUUAAUGUUAUAUUUAGGAAGCUCUAGGCUAGGAUGCUUUUGUCCAACAGAUGAUAUGUAUGAACGAAUUGUUCGAGAGGAUUGGCGAAUGUAGGUGUCAUGCAAGAAAAUUUAAAUGAUAUACAAACUCAAACUCAAAUGCAAAUGUAAAAUUAAAUGCAAAUGAAAUAAAAACUAAACAAUCUUGAAUGUUGAAUUACAUUCAACACCAUCCCUUAAUUCAUAUUCAAGUUAAAAAUCAACACCACCAAUUUCAUUCCUCAAAUUGAUGAAAUGUCCAGUUUUGAUUGUCUUGGUCAGCACAUCUACAAGUUGCUUCUGAGGGAUGACAUGAACAACCUCAAGUACUAUUCAGAACCUGAUUCCACAGAAAAUUGUAUUUGGUAUCAAUGUGCUUGCUUCUUCCAUGCAACAUUGGAUUCUUAGCAAGACUUAUGGCAGAUUUGUUGUCAAUCAUCAAUUUGACUAGUUUGCUCACUUUGAACUUCAAUGCUUGCAACAAAUUCAUCAGUCAAACAGUCUGACGAAGCAUCAGUUAUAUAUUUAGCUUCACAGGUUGACAGUGAAACCACUUGUUGCUUCUUGGAACACUAAGAAAUUGAGGCUCCCAGAUACAUAAACAUGUAUCCUAUAGUGCUUCUCCCAUCUACUUUGUCUCCACACCAAUCCGAGUUUGAGUAGCAUAUUAACUCAGCAGCAUCUGACACUCAAAAUGGAAACAAAGUUCCAUUCCUUAGAAUUCCUUUUAUAUACCUCAGAAUCCCGAUUGCAGCUUGGUAAUGUGACCACUUUGGUUUACUCAUAAACCUACUCAUCAUUCCAACUGCAUAACAUAUGUCAGGCCUGAUGUUACACAAAUAUCUCAGACAGCCAACCAACUGUUUGAAGGUUGUAGCAUCUACAUCCUCACCAUCAUCAGAAUCCAGCUUAUGAUUUGUCUUAGCAUGUGUGAUUGUUGACUUAAAAUUCAUCAACUUAAAUCUCUUCAGCAACUCAAGUUCAUGCUUCAAUUGGUGCACAAUAAUUCCCUUCUCAGAAUGCAAAAUCCCUCCAUCCUUAAAAAAAUACCAUAUUUCCAAGUUUAGUCAUAUAAAAUGCAUUCACCAACACCUUCUUGAACUUGUCUAUUUCAGAAGUACGAAUUCCUAUCAAAAGUAUGUCAUCUACAUAAAGACACACCAGAAUAACAUUUCCAUUAAAAGUAUGUUGCACAUGCACACCAUAUUCCAUUUAAAAUUUCUUGAACCCCAGAUGCUUGAAAAAUGAAUCAAUUCUCAGAUUCCAAGCUCUUGGAGCAUGUUUCACCCCAUACAAGGCUUUAUGUAGCGUGUACACCAUCCCGUCUUUGUUCUCUUUCACAAAUUCAAGAGGUUUUAACACGUAGACUUCUUCUUGCAAUGGACCAUUUAGAAAAAUUGACUUUACAUCUAAGUGUAUUAGAGGUCAAUUCCUAUUUUCAGCUAUAACGAUAACCAAUCUUAUGGUUUCAUGUCUGGCUACAGGUGCAAACACUUCAAAUUAGUCUAAACCAAAAUUUUGAAGGAAUCAUCUACCUAUUAACCUUGCUUUAUGCUUGACAACUGAACCAUUUGGCUUCAGCUUUAUCUUGAAAAUCAAUGUCACACUGAUGGCUUUCUUGUUCUGAGGUAGAAUUGUCAAUUCCCACGUCUUGUUUCUUUCAAUGGCCUCAAGAUCUUCCUUCAUGGAAUUCACCCACACGUUCUUCUUAAGAGCCUCAAUAAUGUUUACAUGUUCAGAGUCCACCAUCAUGGCACUCUGUAUGACUUCUCCUUCAAAAUCAGUAUCAGUAUCUUGUAGUAGUUCAAAAUUUGCAAGUCUCAUUGGUAUAUGUCUAACUCUAUGUGGCCUCUGGAAAAAUUCAGAAGUAGGACCACCUUCAGAAGCUCCACCUUCAGAGGAUGGACCACCUUCAGAAACUCCACCUUCAGAGGUUGGACCACCUUUAGAGGUUGGGACACCUUUAGAGGUUGGAUCACCUUCAGAGUCAGAUCCACCAUCAAAGUCAGACUCACCAUCAGUGUUAAGUCACUUCAGAUCCAAACUCAAUUUUAGAGUUAGAGUCAUCUUCAGAUCCAGACUCUCCUUCAUAGUCAAAAUCACUUUUAUAGGCAGAAUCAGACUCUAGUGUUGACACUACAUGAUCAAUGUAUUUUGAUACACUAACUUUUACCUUGUGCUAAGACUUUUAUUUGACUUCUCACAUGAUUAUAAUUACUUUUAAUUGGUUUUUGGGAAGUUAAGUUAAGCUCUGCUUAUUUUCUAAAUAAGUGCUUAUUUUCUUAUUUAAUAGUAAUUUGACACCUUCUCGUUGUAUAGAUCGUAACUUGAGCUAUGAGAUUCUGUAUGACGCGUUCUAAUAUGUGUUGGAAAGAUGAGUGGAAAACCUAAAAGUUUCAUGUUGAAGUCAAAAGCGGAUUCGGAGUUUAGAAGACUAGAAUAAUUAGUUUUAGCUCCAGACUUAAAUAACACAAUUAGAUUUGGGGCCGGAUUUAUGUAAUUUGGGUCGGAUGCUCUUUUAGCCCAACUUACUAUAAUAUUUAAACUAAAAUGCAGCACUAUUGCAAGCUUAGACAGUUUUACACGAAAACUAUAACAUUGAGUCGUUAGGAUUCCAUUCUGAACUAAUUCUUACAGUUGAUUUGUUGAAUCGUGUUUCCAUCAAGCUUUGACGUUUUUACUUUUAUCAAUUUAAUUUAGCUUUUCUUUCAAUUUUUUUCUCUGAAAUUCAAUUGCUUGAUUUUUUAUUUCGUGGAAUAGUUUUGAUUAAUUUUGUAUGGUUGCAUCCUAAACUAUAAUCUCUUUUGACGUAACUUUGUCGUUAAUUUGCGUAUGUUAAAAUCACGUUUGCUAAAUUCACGAUUUCUUUAAUCCGUUUGCUAUACUCGGAUAAUAGGAGUGUCAAUCAGUAUCAUAUACAUUGAUCUUGUCAAUCGAUAUAUGGAUCGAAUAGAGAUCGAAGCCGCUUAGGGAAUUGGUGAGGUAGAAAUCAAUGAUAAGCCAGAAACUGAAACAGUAGACUAACUAGUUCAUAGAAUUAUGUUAAUCAUUUAUCAUCAUAUUAAUCGAAACUUAUACACCCAUAAUUGUUCCUUUUUAUUGGUAAAAUUCAAUACAAGAGUCCCUGCGAUACGACUCGAGUGUCGCUUCUCAAAACUACAGUUUUUAAUUACUCAUUUUGACCGGUGCGCGACAGCGAAUCACUACACUAGAGUUGGAUUGAGACUUGUAUCAAUCCCAUGUUUAUAAUUCUUUGACUAUGACAUAUUUAUUGACUUCAACUUUGUUGGUGAAUGGGCAAAAAGCUUAUAAGCACUUGCACUGUAGUAACAUAUAAGCAACAAAACUUUACUUCUGUCAUUCAAUUUCCUUAUAGUAGUAUCUGGUAUAUAUUUGUAACAUACUGAACAAAACACCUUGAAAUGGUUGACACUUUUCUUUCUUCCAGUCCACUUAUCAAUAGGAACUACUUCCUUUAACUUCUUUGUUGGACAUAUGUUGAGCAUAUAUACUGAAGUAGCAAUUUCUUCACUCCACAAUUGCUUAGGCAAAUUCUUCUCCUUCAGCAUGCUCUUUGUCAUGUAAAGCAGAGUUUAUUUCUUCUUUCAGCAAGACCAUUAUGUUGUGGAGUGUAUGGAGUAGUCACCUCAUGCUCAUUGCCAUGUUCCUCGCAGAACUUCUUGAACUCUGUUGAGUUGAAAUCACCUCCACCAUCAGUUCUAAGGAUCUUCAACCUUUGUCCACUUUGAUCUUCAACCUUUACUUUGAACUUCCGAAACUCAACAAACACCUCAUGUUUGAACUUAAUGAGUGUUACACAUGUCAUUCUUAUGAACUCAUCCACAAAUGACACAAAGUACUUGUUACCUUCAAGUGAAUGUAUCUAAUAUGGACCACAUACAUCAGAAUGAACAAUACCCAAAGCAUGAGUUGCUCUUGCAGGAAUUUCUGAUAAGAAUGGCAAUCUUGGUUAUUUGCCUCUCAUGCAUAUAUCACAUGAUUUCUCUGGUGCCACAAUCUUAGGAACUUCAUGUACUAUAUUCUUUGAACUCAGAUACCCUAAGCUUCUGUAGUUCAGAUGCCCCAAUCUCUUGUGCCACAACUCACUUUCCCCUUUAGCACUUCAUGCACUAAGGCAUUGAGUGUCUGUUGUUGCAACAUUCACCUUGAAUCUUCUAUUUCCUCCCAAUUCAUACAACAGAAUUAGCCUCUAUUACAAUCAUACAACUUCAAGAGAUUAUCCUUCAUGGUUACUGAAAAUCCUUUUUCAAUCAGCUGACCUACACUCAUCAGAUUUCUAUUCAUGCCAGGAACAUACCAUACAUUCUUGAUCAGUACAAUUUUGUCAUUAUUCAACUUAACUCUGACAUUUCCCAUUCCUUUAGAUUUUAAAUACUCAUCACCAGCAUAUUUGAUCUUGGUCCUCUUACCAGAGUCAAAAUCAACCAGUCAUUGCUUGUUUCAAGUUAGGUGAUUUGAGCAGCUAGCGUCCAUAUACCACCAGUCUACCAUUGAUCCGCCUACAUUCUCAGAUGUUAUCAAUAGCAUAUAAUAAUCAUCAGAAUCUACUAUGGCUAUCUUGGCUUCUUCACCCUUGCUAACCUUGUUUCAUCAACAAUCAACAGCAAAAUGCCCAAACUUGUUGCAACUGCAGGACUGAACCUUUCCCUUCUGAACAUUAUGAUGUUUCUUAUCAGAAUUGGAGAGUUAAAACUUAUGAACACCACCACCAUACUUACUCUUGUUCCAACCAUGCUUUCUUUUGGUUCUUCUUUCCAAAAGAAGCUUUCAGAGACUGAGCCUUCAGAGCCGGUUCUAACUCUUGUUCAGAGUUUCUUUCAGUCAAACGCGGCUCUUGUGCCUCUAAACUACUAUGAAGCUCUUCAAUUCUCAUGGUGCUAGUGUCUUUAGAGUGUUUUAUGGCUAUAACUAUGUAAUCAAACUGAGGAGUAAGUAAUCUCAAUACCUUUUCAAUGAUUACUUGUUCAGAGAGCAUUUCUCCAUAAGACUUCAUCUCAUUAGUGACCACAAUUACUCUGGAGAUGUAAUCAGGUAUCUUUUCAUUGUUCUUCAUGCUGAGAUUCUCAUAUUUCUUGCGUAUGGACUAAAGCUUGACCUUCUUCACUGAUGUGUUACCACCAUAACAUCGUACUAGUGCAUCCCACGUCGCCUUCGUUGUCGUCGAGUCAACAAUUUUCUCAAACACCUAUUUAUCCAUACACUAAUAGAUAUAGAACAACGUCUUCUAAUCCUUCUUCCUCAUUCCUUGUUGCGCAGUUCUUUGCGCUUCUGUUGUCUCCUCUACAACCAACGUGUAACCGUCAUUGAUGAGAUCAAGAACAUCUUGAGCUCCAAAUAACACACGCAUCUGAAUCGACCAGUGAUUCCAGUUAUUUACGUCGAAUACUUGAAGCUUAGUGUUUAAGCUACUAUUUUUGUUGUUCAUCUUUGUACUUGUGCAAAUCAUUCAGGUCUCACCAACACUCGUAUUUCCCAAACCCUGGGAAUCAAAAUAUAUGAUUCCCUUUGAUUUUGAACUUCAAUUCAACAUGAAUUUCAUAAACGAAAUCAAUCACACACCUCACUACACUCGUGUUUUCCUAUGAAUCGAACCAGAGGUUUGGAUAACAAUUUUUGGAAUUCAACAAAAAACCUCCGUUAACAAUGUACAAGAAUGAAGAUGAAGAUGAAAGAAUGAGGGAAUAUAUAUAGUAUAUUAUAUAUAUAUAUAUAUAUUAUAUAUAUAUAUAUAUAUAUAUAGUAUAUAUAUAUAUAUAUAUAUAUAUAUAUAUAUAUAUAUAUAUAUAUAUAUAUAUAUAUAUAAUAUAUAUAUAUAUAUAUAUAUAUAUAUGGAUUUUCUAACUAACGUUUCUCAAAAUGAAGAAACUGAUUUUUGUUACAAAUUUUACUUUCACUUGAGGUUUUAUACAAAGACUUAAUAAAACUCAAAUUGAAAUGACAUACAAAAAAUAAACUCAAUAUAUAUGCAAAACUAAAUGCAAAUGAAAUAAAAACUAAACGACUUCUAUUUAUUUUCUUUCAUUUUUGUUUCAUAAUCAAACAACUUUAAACAAUGAUUUACUUAAAAUCAUAAAAAUAAUUUAACAAUUUUAAAAAACAACCGGUCAUUUUAGAUGCAAUAAUAUUGCACUUGAUAUUUAUGCUCCAACAAAUAAUAUUUUACAGGUCUUGGAAACAUAUUAUAUAUAUAUAUAUAUAUAUAUAUAAUAUAUAUAUAUAUAUAUAUUAUAUAUAUAUAUAUAUAUAUAUAUAUAUAUAUUAUAUAUUAUAUAUAUAUAUAUAUAUAUAUAUAUUAAUAUUGCUGAUGAAUGAAUAUUAGACAUCACAUGUAACCUAUAUUUGAAAAAAUUCAUGAUGGGUGGAAUUAUUUUAGCUUUUCAUAAACAGGGUAUGACUAAAAUUAUUAUUCAUAUUUAAAUAAAUAUGGUGAACUAUUGUAACGUGAAAUAGUAGGGUUUAAAUUAUUUGGAUUUUAAUUAAUAUUGGGAACCAUUGUAACCCUUUAGUUAAAGAAUGGGUCUUCUAUCCACUUUCUCCAUAAAUAUGUUUUAGGACAUGUUGGAAAAGUAAUUGCGUUAUUACAUACCUACAAAGUUUGAGAAAGAAUGAGAGGAAUAUCCUAUCGUACAUAAUUGGCAUUGAAGAUCGUUCAAGAGCAUGCAACACAUAAACAUCCAAUGACUUCAAAGAGGUAAGUUAUGAACUCUCCCAUUUGAUAUUAAUGAUGUCUUAAGUCAACAAGUAUGAUCAAAGUUUUAUGAUGCAAGAUAAAUUUCUAGCCUAUAAAAUUGUGGAUAUUUUUCUUUCACUUUAAGAUUUUGUUUAAGAAUUUUGAAGGAGGAGAAUGAAGGGUUUUAAAAUACCAUUUUUUUAAAAAUAUAGAGAUUUUUUUAAUAUUUUAUGAAAAAAUAUUUUGUAUAGAAUACUAUUUUUUAUUAAUAUAUUUUUAAUUUUAAAAAUACUAUAAUAAUAAAAAUUAUAUUAGAACAAUUUAUUUAAAUCCUCCUAAAUCCUCAAAACCGUGAAGAACUUUGAAUUUUAAUAAAAAUAAAUUCUUCAAAAUCAUUCCCGCCUAAAUCUUGUUAGGUCAUCAAUUUUGGGGUCAACAUAAGAGAACUUUCUUUUAUGAGUAACAUACAUUUGUGAAAGACACACUACAUAGUGACUCAAAACUUUUAGGUGAAAGGUUUAUGGAUUCUCUAACUUAUAAAUGCUCAAGUCUCCACAUUUAUAAUCAAUGUGGGACUUCUUCGCACUACUCACGCUUGUUAUUCUCAAUAUUCUCUCUCAAGUGUGCUUCUAACCACAAUGUUCCCCCUCAAUCAGAAGCUUUUUACACUUGUACCACUGUUGACACUUUUCAACAGGUCAUCUCCUAUCAAAUAAGAAAUUUUGAUACAAGUUAGUCAGCUCAUUUACUCGAACUAAAGGCUCAUGAUACCAUAGUUGGUUCAUCAAUCUUGGGGGGUCAACACGGGAGAAUAUUUUUACUUUGGAGACUUUCUUUUAUGAGCAACACGCCUUUGUGAGAGACACAUCACAUACUCACCCAAAAUUUUAAGGUGAUAGAGGUGUGAGUUCUCUCACUUAUAAAUAUUCAAUUAUCUACAUUAAUUUCUAACCAAUUUACGACUUCCCCACACUAUCCACAUUUGUUAUUCUUAACACACCCCUUCAAAUGCGAGUUUAUCCACAAUACCCCCAUCAAUCAAAAGUUUUUUACAUUUGUAUCACCAUUGACACUUUUCAAUAUGCCACCUCCUAUCCAGUAGAGAAUUUCAAUACAAGUGAGUCGGUUCCUUCACUCGAACCAAAGACUCAUGAUAUUGGGUCGUAGGUCAACACGAGAUAAUAUAUUUACUUUGGAAACUUUCUUUUAUGAGCGACACACAUUUGUGAGAAACACACCACAUACUCACAUAAAACCUUCACGUGAUAGUUGUGUGAUUUAUUUCACUUAUAAAUGUUCAAAUCUCCAUAUUUUUCUAACAAAUUUAAAACUUCCCCAUACUACUCAAAUUUGUUAUUCUCAACAAAUCUUUUUAUUAUUUUCACUCUAGCUUUUUCUUUCUUAUUUUCAAAAUCCUAUCCUCCCUUUUUCAAACUAAAUUAAUUUUAUGGAGAAUCAUAACCGCUUAAACAAUUGUGUGAUUAUUGCUUGUACACUUGCUUUGUCCUCUAUUAAGUGGGUCAUGUACUUUAAAUUGAACAACUAUAUGUUAAUUUUUUGUAUUUUAAAACCGCUGUGUGAAACCGCUAUUGUCAUGUUUUUCUUUUUAUGUUUUCUCCCUAUCAAAGUAUUGUGUAUAUAAUAUAAUCUUUUCUUGUCUUCGAUGUCAAGCCAAUUUGAAUUUUAGUUUAUUUUAACAAUUUAUUUCAAUCGACUAAGCCAACUAGAUUGAUCUCACACACAAUGACCAGGUUAGGUUCAUUAGAGUAUUUAUGACGAUUUGUAUUGUCCCAUAUGUUGUUUAUAAGUCCAUGUCUUUUCUUUUGUUGAAAGGUUAAUUCAUGAUAUCACCAAUAAAAUCAAUUGGGUCAAAUAUAUGUCAAUCUUUUUAUAAAGUUUACCCUUUUUUUUAAAUUCAUGUUUAUUCCUUUUUAUAAAGUUUACCCUUUUUUUUUAAAUUCAUGUUUAUUCCAUCAUUUGGUGAUUUCAAAGAUUAAACAUUAGUGUAUUAAAAAAUAACGAAAUAUUUGUUAAUUAAGUAGUACAAUUGUAAUAUUGAUAAAGAAUGACUUACUCCGAGGCCUUAAUAUUCAACUUUCGAUGAUGGUUAAUCAAGUUACAAUUUCUUGGUAUUUCCUAAAAUCCAAUACUUCUCCUUUAACAUCUUUUUUUCGAAUUGUUAAGAAUCCUCAUCUACAAUAGAAAACUGGUGAUCAAGGGAGAUAUAAUUACUAUCACCAUACCAAAAGAAGAAUAUGUAGAAGGCUUGGAGACUUGCAAAUACAACAUUUAUAAUAGAAUUAUAUGACUUAAUGGAACAACCUCUCUAUGAAUAAGUCUUGGGAAAAAUGUUAUCUACGAUGUGGAAAUCUCUGGGUAAAUGGUGUCUAAUUUCUCUAGAGAAGGGUAUCUAUGAAUUUAUUUUCUCAAUAGUUGAAUAUUUGAGAAAUGUUACAGCUUUAAUCUCUUGGAAUUUAAAUUCGGGUCUUUUGAAUAUUUCUACUUGGACGAGGGACUUCAAUCAUAUGAUUCUAUUUGUUGAAUAAACAUAUUUGAUUUUGAUGAUGACAAAAAGAUUAAAACAAAAACAAAAACAUCAUCAAACAAAUUUUAAACGUGAAUAAAAAAUCAGGGUUUUCUAGUGAUCUAUGCAAAAGAUUCAAAAAUUAAUGAACUUCACCAAGAAAUGAAGUCAACUGCGAAGAACUCACAUCUAAUCUUAUAUUUUUUCUAUUUUUUUAUUUUUUUAUAAGAUCAAAUGUAAAAUUAAGUGUACGAUCUCAAAGUACUAAAGUCCUAUCACAAACACACUUAAAAUUUGUUUGCAAAACUUGAUCUUUUUCAAAAACAACUUCUAAGGCAUCUUGGUUUGAGGAAAGUCUUUCAAAAACCAAAGUUUAAUCGAUGAUGCAACAAAACUUUGUCUGUUAAACGAUUGUUACACUUUUUUAAUCGAUUAUAGGGCGAACUUGUUUAAUAAUUGAUUAAGAAAGCCUUCUAAUCGAUUAUGUUUCAAAUAAAAAAAAUCUUUUUUCUAAGUCAUAAUCCAUUAUAGUCUCAACAUAAUUGAUUAUGAUGCGGAUCCGAUCCAAAAAAAAAAAAAAUUGGCCAAAUUUUUUACCAUAAAAGGAGUGGAAGUACUUGAAAACACACAAAACAUAUAAAAAUAUCCUCUCUUUUACUCAUUCUCUUGAUCUUUUAAAUUUUAUAGUCAUUUAAUAUUUGUUUAUUGUCAAAAGACAAAUACUUAAUUAAGUAGAGUUAUCUUGUGUAAAUUGUAGAUGAUAUUGUGUAAGAACAUUGCAGGUUGAUACUUUUUUGUGAUAGUAAAAAUCUCAAAGGUCAAUUCUUGGGGAUUGAAUGUAAGUCAUAUGGUUUAGAGUCGAAUCAGGAUAAAAUCUGAUGUGUUCUUCCCUUCUCUCUUCUAUUUACUUUUGUCUUUAUUUUUUGUAAAAAACAUUUAUGUUUUAGUAUUAAUUAAAUUUAGGGUUAACUAUGUUUGUAGUCCCGUUAAAUAUCUCAUAUUUCACUUUUAGUCCUUCAAAUUUUUUUCUUCAAAUGAUGGUUCUCCUAAUAUUUUCCAUCCAUACUUUUGAUCCCUCAAAAUAACAUUCUUUAAUAGAAGUUGAUGUGGCAUGACAUGUCAAUGUCAAUGUGCCAAAGAUGCUGACAUGGAUUCCAUGUGGCAUUUUAUCACCAUUUUAUAUUUAUAUUAAUUAAAUUUAUAGCGACAGAGAUUUCGUCGCUAACAUAAAAAAACGUAGCUAUGUUGUAGCUAAUCUACAGGUAAUCCCUAGCUAAUUCAAACACAUCAUUCUUAUGACCUUGACUUCGUAUCUUUUCAUGAUAAUUUCAAGAACGUUUAUCACAUUUAAGGAUCUCUCUCACAAAAAUUUAAUUUUUUUUUACUUGAUAUGAUUUAAAUAUGAAUUGAAUAGCUGAUUUUCUAUGAACCGGAAACAACGAAACAUUAGCAUAUCAUAUAUAUAUAUAUAAUAUAUAUAAUAUAUAUAUAUAUAUAUAUAUAUAUAUAUAUAUAAUAUUAAUAAUAUAAUAUAUUAUAUUAUAUAUAAUAUAUAUAUAUAUAUAUAUAUAUAUAUAUAUAUAUAUAUAUAUAUAUAUAUAUAAAGUAUCUGCAAAAUUUCAUUAUAUUUCGAAUAAGUCUUGAUUUAUUUUGAUUUUUUAUAUCGAAAGAAGAUAUAUGUGUUGUGUUAUUAUUUAGUUUCUCUUAAAAUUUAACUCAAAAUUCAAUCAUAUGUUGAUGUUGCAUUGUUUUCUAUUCAUGGAAAAUCAACGCUUACAAAAUUCUUAUUGAAUUCAUCUCAUGCCAAAAAAAAAUGUGGGAGAGAUCCUUAUAAUUUUAUAUACUAACAUGAAAAAAAAUUAAAGUAUGUAGCCUUCUUACAACCAAGGGCUAAAUACUCAUUUCGUCUCUUGAAAAAGAAACAAAUUUAUUUGUGUUUUGAUCGGAAAUAAAAAUUAUUUGAAAGUUAUUUGAAAUGCCAUGAAAAUUUACAUAUCCUUUUUAUGUAUUAUGAUAUAAGUUCAUGUAGAAGAUUAGAUGGAAAUUAAAUCAUAUGAAAAUUAUUGCGUUAUUUUCGUUCAUAGAAAAAUCAACACUUAAAAAAAUUCAUAUUUAAUUUAUAAAGUCAAAAAAAUUAAAAAAAUUGUGAAAAGAGAUCCUUGUGAUAAAUAUUUUUGAAAAAAAAAUAUUAAAAAAAAAAGUCUAGGUCAUAAUAACUAUGUGUUUGAAUUAGUUAUGGAUUAGCUACAUAUUCUGAUUUUUUUUAUGAUGUACAUUUUGGCGACGAAAUCUCCAUCGCUGUCAAUUUAAUUUAUAUAUAAAUAAUAAAGUGGUGACAAAGUUCCACAUGGCAUCCAUGUCAGCAUCUUUGUCACGAUGGAAUUGUCACAUGUCAUGAUAUAUCAACUUCUGUUAACAAACGUUAGCAGAAGGGAUCAAAAGUGUGGAUGAAAAAUAUUAUGAAGACCAUUUUCUAAAGAAAUUUUUUUAGGGACUAAAUGAAAUAUGAGAUAUUUAGAGAGAAUAUAAACAUAUUUAACCUUAAAUUUAUAGUAUUAUUUUUUUUAAAAAAAUAUUUGUAACAUUAUAUAUCAAAAUAAUAGUAUUAUUAAUUAUUCUUUUAGUGCUAAAUAUAAUAUAAUAUAAUUAUUAUAUUAUUGUAUUAAUAUAUAUAUAUUAUUAUUUGUAAAGGUAGUUUAGUUUUUUUCUAUUAUAUAGUAUUUAUUCUAUUGUAAUCUUUAUUCUAUAGGCUUUUUGAAGGAGAAUGGCGAUCCAAAACGCAGUAGAAAUUAAAAUUUUAUCCUUUAGUAUCCUGUACGAAUGGGCAUGAUCAGUGAUAGAAUAGUUACCUCUUGUGACGAUUGAAACUUUUGAUGCAGAUUACGGAGCGAUCACGAACGUUGAACGAUGACAACGCCUCAACUCAAGUCCACACGAACGGAUUCCUCAAUCUCAGUGCUAGCUGCUACGAAUGAAGGCUUUGAGUGAGAGAGAGAGAGAGAAACGAAAAAUGCAACAGCAGCGAAUGAUUAUGCACAAGGGUUCUAUUUAUAGAACCACUUAUGUGGGCUUCAAGCAAAAAGUCCACUUAAGUGUAUGUGGCCCAUAUCUUAUAAUAUGCCAAAUUCACUUAAGCGUGUUACCUUACCAUAUUUCGUAUUCUACUUAAGUACAUUGUACUUACGAUGUUCUACAAUUCACUUAAAGUGCACCGUACCCUAAGGUGUUCCUUAGUUACUCUAUCUCUCAUUUAUCUGUCAUUGUGUGUGACCCUGUAGGUUUUCGGCAUUGGCAAUUAUAUUAAAAUCACGCAUUUUAACAUAAUAAACAUUGAGCGGUAUCUAGCAACACAUCACUACUACCCAAGACACAAAAAUGUCAUGUGAUCUGACAAACCCUUCUAUAUAAUACUUAUGCGUCUUAAUUACCCUUUUGCCCUUAUGUCUAUAUUGAACACAAGGCAUAGACCGUGUCAUCUUUUCCAGUUCAAUAUUGGGCCAUAGACAUUUAUCCUGUUACGCAGGAUGGGCAAAUUCCAUCUAGGUCACUCAGGUCCCUUAGCAUGCUUCGUGGAGUACCCAUCAACUGUCUUUAUGGUUAUCCAGUUAUGGACAAGUUUGAUCAGCAAUAAAGCACUCGACUCUACACUCUAGGGUCCAUAGUGGUUUCAGGUCUAAGGGUGGUAUCAACCAUUAUCACCAUGAGAAAACUUAUGACACUUUGCAUAACAUUCUAUAUAGUAUUCUCAUAGCGGGUCAAUCUAGUAUAAAUAUUACUCUUAACAUUCAUACCUAUGUUUAAGACUGAUAACUCCUUAUCCAUGAUCCAUGAGAUGUGAUCAUCAGUCUAUAUACAUAAUGUCUUAAUGCUUUAAUGUUAUCCCACUUCACAAUAAAGCUCGACUACGGAUACUUUAAGAAUAUUUUCCUUAUGUUUUAAUUGUGAUCUCAUGAUCAAGUCACACUUGAUACAUUAAACAGACUAGCUAUUCUAGGGACUUUAUUAAACAAACGUAAUAAAGAAAAGCCUUUUAUUAUUAAUAAUAAUUCGAUACAAGUACCAAAAAGUAUUGGCCUCUAGGCCUUACACCAACACUUUUGUCAUUCUAAUGAAUAAUUCUAGAAUUUCUUCUCUUUUGUUGGUAUUAGAGUUGGGCUAGGGAUUGGAAUGUUGACAUUGACUCAGGACAACGUAGGCAGAGGGUGGAUGUUAAAUUUGUAUUUGUGUUGUUUGAGUUUGUUUUGAAGUCACGUAUUGCUCAGGUUCUCAGGAUGUUGAUUGUAUAAAUAUGUGAGAGGCAACCUCAUCCUUUGAGCUACCUUUUGUGGUUUAGAUUCAAGCAUUUUCAACAUAGUAUCAGAGCCUGUUGAGUCGAUGUGAUAUUUGCAAUAAUAAAUAUUAUCCUCUGAUUUUGUUGUUACAGUUGGUUUCAUUAUACAUUCAAUUGAUUAGUCUCGUCAAUUUUGUGUUAUAAUUUUGUUUCUUUCCACACAAAAAUUGAUAGAAAGUUAUUUGGUUUUGCGUUUGAAUUUGUUUAAAUUUUAAAUUAUUAGAAAAACAGUACACAAUCAGUGAAAAAUAUGGAUUCUCUUCAAUCUGUUAUGGUUCAACUCAAUGGAUAAAAUUAUGAUUAUUGAGUUAUGUAAUGAAAGAUAGUUUGAAAGGAAAAAAGAUAUGGAUGUAUGUUGGUGGAACUUCUAUUAGCCCAUAGACAAAAAAAAAUGAAGUAGCAUACGCAAAAAAGUUGGAAACAUAGAAUGUUAGUAAUUCAAAGAUCCUCAUUUGGAAUAUAAUUUUGUUUCUCAUCAAUAUGUGUGCACAACUAUUAAAAUAUGAAUUGUUAAAAAGGUUUGGGAUCAUUUGAAAAUUUAUGUAAUCAGUCUAAUUUGCAAUAUGGUACCGGUUGAAGAUCGACAUUAGUGCUCUAAACAAAAAAGUAUCGUCAUCAAGAAGUUUAUUCGGCUAUGACUGAGUUUAUGGGAUCAACCGGCUCUUAUAGAAACAACGAAAAUUAAAAAUUGUCAAGCAUACAUCGAGCAAAGAGAAAAGCAUCGUAGGAUUCAAUUUUUGAUGGCCCUUUGGGAUGAUUUUGAGAGUCUUCGUGGAAUAAUUAUACAUCAUAACUCUUCUUAAUGUUGAUCUAGUUGUUAAUGAGUUUAUGGGAAAAAGAAAUUAGACUUAAGACUCACUCUAAUAUGAUUCCAAAUAAAGGAAAUUAUCUACAUUCGCCCAUCUAUUUUUGUUGCUCCUACUCACAAAGGAAAUAUCAAGUAGAAUUGAAAUUUGAAUUAUUAAAUUAAUAUUCUUUUUGUAAGAAAAAAGGUCAUUGAAAAUCGCAAGUGUCCUCGAAUUAGUGAGAGUAAAUANNNNNNNNNUAUAUAUAUAUAUAUAAAUAUAAAGUAUCUGCAAAAUUUCAUUAUAUUUCGAAUAAGUCUUGAUUUAUUUUGAUUUUUUUAUCGAAAGACAUAUAUGUGUUGUGUUAUUAUUUAGUUUCUCUUAAAAUAUUAACUCAAAAUUCAAUCAUAUGUUGAUGUUGCAUUGUUUCUAUUUCAUGGAAAAUCAACGCUUACAAAAUUCUUAUUGAAUUCAUCUCAUGCCAAAAAAAAAAUGUGGGAGAGAUCCUUAUAAUUUUAUAUACUAACAUGAAAAAAAAUUAAAGUAUGUUAGCCUUCUUACAACCAAGGGCUAAAUUACUCAUUUCGUCUCUUGAAAAAGAAACAAAUUUAUUUGUGUUUUGAUCGGAAAAUAAAAAUUAUUUGAAAGUUAUUUGAAAUGCCAUGAAAAUUUACAUAUCCUUUUUAUGUAUUAUGAUAUAAGUUCAUGUAGAAGAUUAGAUGGAAAUUAAAUCAUAUGAAAAUUAUUGCGUUAUUUUCGUUCAUAGAAAAUCAACACUUAAAAAAUUCAUAUUUAAUUUAUUUAAAGUCAAAAAAAUUAAAAAAAUUGUGAAAGAGAUCCUUGUGAUAAAUAUUUUUGAAAAAAAAAUAUUAAAAAAAAAGUCUAGGUCAUAAUAACUAUGUGUUUGAAUUAGUUAUGGAUUAGCUACAUAUUCUGAUUUUUUUUAUGAUGUACAUUUUGGCGACGAAAUCUCCAUCGCUGUCAAUUUAAUUAAUAUAAAUAAUAAAAGUGGUGACAAAGUUCCACAUGGCAUCCAUGUCAGCAUCUUUGUCACGAUGGAAUUGUCACAUGUCAUGAUAUAUCAACUUCUGUUAACAAACGUUAGCAGAAGGGAUCAAAAGUGUGGAUGAAAAAUAUUAUGAAGACCAUUUUCUAAAGAAAUUUUUUUAGGGACUAAAUGAAAUAUGAGAUAUUUAGAGAGAAUAUAAACAUAUUUAACCCUUAAAUUUAUAGUAUUAUUUUUUUAAAAAAAAUAUUUUGUAACAUUAUAUAUCAAAAAUAAUAGUAUUAUUAAUUAUUCUUUUAGUGCUAAAUAUAAUAUAAUAUAAUUAUUAUAUUAUUGUAUUAAUAUAUAAUAUUAUAUAUUUGUAAAGGUAGUUUAGUUUUUUCUAUUAUAUAGUAUUUAUUCUAUUGUAAUCUUUAUUCUAUAGGCUUUUUGAAGGAGAAUGGCGAUCCAAAACGCAGUAGAAAUUAAAAUUUUAUCCUUUAGUGAUCCUUACGAAUGGGCAUGAUCAGUGAUAGAAUAGUUACCUCUUGUGACGAUUGAAACUUUUGAUGCAGAUUACGGAGCGAUCACGAACGUUGAACGAUGACAACGCCUCAACUCAGUCCACACGAACGGAUUCCUUCAAUCUCAGUGCUAGCUGCUACGAAUGAAGGCUUUGAGUGAGAGAGAGAGAGAGAAACGAAAAAUGCAACUGCAGCGAAUGAUUAUGCACAAGGGUUCUAUUUAUAGAACCACUUAUGUGGGCUUCAAGCAAAAAGUCCACUUAAGUGUAUGUGGCCCAUAUCUUAUAAUAUGCCAAAUUCACUUAAGCGUGUGGUACCUUACCAUAUUUCGUAUUCUACUUAAGUACAUUGUACCUUACGAUGUUCUACAAUUCACUUAAGUGCACCGUACCCUAAGGUGUUCCUUAGUUACUCUAUCUCUCAUUAAUCUGUCAUUUGUGUGUGACCCUGUAGGUUUUCGCGGCAUUGGCAAUUAUAUUAAAUCACGCAUUUAACAUAAUAAACAUUGAGCGGUAUCUAGCAACACAUCACUACUACCCAAGACACAAAAAUGUCAUGUGAUCUGACAAACCCUUCUAUGAUAAUACUUAUGCGUAUAAUUACCCUUUUGCCCUUAUGUCUAUAUUGAACACAAGGCAUAGACCGUGUCAUCUUUGUCCAGUUCAAUAUUGGGCCCAUAGACAUUUAUCCUGUUACGCAGGAUGGGCAAAUUCCAUCUAGGUCACUCAGGUCCCUUAGCAUGCUUCGUGGAGUACCCAUCAACUGUCUUUAUGGUUAUCCAGUUAUGGACAACGUUUGAUCAGCAAUAAAGCACUCGACUCUACAUCUAGGGUCCAUAGUGGUUUCAGGUCUAAGGGUGGUAUACACCAUUAUCACCAUGAGAAUAACUUAUGACACUUUGCAUAACAUUCUAUAUAGUAUUCUCAUAGCGGGUCAAUUAUAUAAAUAUUACUCUUAACAUUCAUACCUAUGUUUGAAGACUUUGAUAACUCCUUAUCCAUGAUCCAUGAGAUGUGAUCAUCAGUCUAUAUACAUAAUAGUCUUAAUGCUUUAAUGUUAUCCCACUUCACAAUAAAGCUCGACUACGGAUACUUUAAGAAUAUUUUCCUUAUGUUUAAUGUGAUCUCAUGAUCAAGUCACACUUGAUACAUUAAACAGACUAGCUAUUCUAGGGACUUUAUUAAACAAACGUAAUAAAGAAAAGCCUUUUAUUAUUAAUAAAUAAUUCGAUACAAGUACCAAAAGUAUUGGCCUCUAGGCCUUACACCAACACUUUUGUCAUUCUAAUGAAAAUUCUAGAAUUUCUUCUCUUUUGUUGGUAUUAGAGUUGGGCUAGGGAUUGGAAUGUUGACAUUGACUCAGGACAACGUUAGGCAUGAGGGUGGAUGUUAAAAUUUGUAUUUGUGUUGUUUGAGUUUGUUUGAAGUCACGUAUUGCUCAGGUUCUCAGGAUGUUGAUUGUAUAAAUAUGUGAGAGCAACCUCAUCCUUUGAGCUACCUUUUGUGGUUGAGAUUCAAGCAUUUUCAACAUAGUAUCAGAGCCUGGUUGAGUCGAUGUGAUAUUUGCAAUAAUAAAUAUUAUCCUCUGAUUUUGUUGUUACAGUUGGUUUCAUUAUACAUUCAAUUGAUUAGUCUCGUCAAUUUUGUGUUUAUAAUUUUGUUUCUUUCCACACAAAAACUUGAUAGAAGUUAUUUUGGGUUUUGCGUUUGAAUUUGUUUAAAUUUUAAAUUAUUAGAAAAACAGUAACAAUCAGUGAAAAAUAUGAUUCUCUUCAAUCUGUUAGUGUUCAACUCAAUGGAUAAAAUUAUGAUUAUUGGAGUUAUGUAAUGAAAGAUAGUUUGAAAGGAAAAAAGAUAUGGAGUUAUGUUGGUGGAACUUCUAUUUAGCCCAUAGACAAAAAAAAAAUGAAGUAGCAUACGCAAAAAAGUUGGAAACAUAGAAUGUUAGUAAUUCAAAGAUCCUCAUUUGGAUUAAUAAUUUUGUUUCUCAAUCAAUAUGUGUGCAACUAGUAAAAUAUGAUAUUGUUAAAAAGGUUUGGGAUCAUUUGAAACAUUUAUGUAAUCAGUCUAAUUUUGCAAUAUGGUACCGGUUGAAGAGUGACAUUAGUGCUCUAAACAAAAAAGUAUCGUCAUUCAAGAAGUUUAUUCGGCUAUGACUGAUUUAUGGGAUCAACCGGCUCUUAUAGAAACAACGAAAUUAAAAAUUGUCAAAGCAUACAUCGAGCAAAGAGAAAAGCAUCGUAGGAUUCAAUUUUUGAUGGCCCUUUGGGAUGAUUUUGAGAGUCUUCGUGGAAUAAUUAUACAUCAUAAUCUUCUUCUUAAUGUUGAUUCAGUUGUUAAUGAGUUAUGGGAAAAAGAAAUUAGACUUAAGACUCACUCUAAUAUGAUUCCAAAUAAAGGAAAUUAUCUACAUUCGCCCAUCUAUUUUUGUUGCUCCUACUCACAAAGGAAAAUAUCAAGGUAGAAUUGAAAUUGAUAUUAAUUAAUAUUCUUUUUGUAAGAAAAAAGGUCAUUGAAAAUCGCAGUGUCUCGAAUUAGUGAGAGUAAAUAAGAAGAAUUUUGAAAUAUUAUCAUCCAAUAUUGUUGUUGUUGCUCCUACUACCAUUAAUUUAGGUUCUAACUAUGCAUGUCCAUAUGAGACCACUUCUCAAACAAGUGAUAUCGUAUAGCCACUUCAAAAGAUUCUUUCCAUUUAUCCACAUGUCGUGUUUGCCUUAUCUAUUAAAGGUUUGCAUUCUUCUAGUUUAUCAUGUAUGUCUUCCUCCAUAUGGAUCCUUGAUUCUAGAGCAUCACAACAUAUGUCAUAUAAUGAUAAAUCAUUUGUGUCUUUAAAUCCUUCUUCAUCUAUGUUAAUUAUGACAUCUGACGGUACACAUAUGCAAUUAGCAGCCAUUGGUUAUGUCUCUACAAAUAAUAUGUCACUUUCUGAUGUUUAUUAUAUUUCUAGUCUUACUUUAAGUAUUGCUUUUGUUAGUCAAUUAUGUUAUUAAGUUUAUUCUGGAGCAUUAAGAAAGUUACAAACCCGUGAUAUUUCAGAUUGUUGUGGUUGUAAUCUUGCAAAAUUUUCAACUUUACAUUUUAAUAAAAAUGCUUAUUUUUCUUAUGCACCAUUUGACAUGGUUAACUCUGAUGUAUGAGGUCUAUCACUGGUUAUUACCAAAGGUGAAUCUACAUAUUAUGUUUUGUUUAUUGAUGAUUAUACGUGUUACUAUUGGAUUUACCUUAUGAAAAAUCGUUCUGAAUUUUUUGAUAUUUAUUAUAUGUUUCAUAAAAUGGUUAAAACGCAAUAUAAUGUUGUUAGAAAGUGCUUAUAUUGUGACUUAGGUGGUGAAUAUACCUCUAAUAAACUCUUUGAGUUACUUGCAUGUAAUGCUACUAUUCACCAUACAUCUUGUAUUGUAACUCCUCAACAUAAUAUAGUUACUGAAAGAAAACACUGUCGUAUUGUUGAGAAUGCAUGUUCCUUUUUGUCUCUACUUCAGUUCCUAGUGAGUUUUUGGGUGAAGCAGUUCUUACUAUUGUUCAUGCUAUUAAUAGAAUCACAUUCCUGUCACAUCAAAUUUGUCCCCUUUCAAAAAAUUGUAUGAUUACAUCCCUGAUUGUUCUUAUUUUAAAGUAUUUGGCUCUACUUGCUUUGUUAUUUGUCCACAAUUUUAACGUAGUAAGUUAUCUUCUCAUUCUGCCAUAUUUGUUUUUCUUGGUUAUGAGAAUGGUUAAAAGGGCUAUCAUUGUUAUGAUCCUCAAUCAACAAAACUUUAUAUUUAUCGUCAUGUUGUAUUUAUUGGACACUUUCCUUUUUUAUCUCUUUCUAAUGAUUCUCAUACUACUAGUAGUUUAAAACUCAAACAUACUGGUCAUUAUGGUCUAAAUGGUAAUAUUUCGAUCUAGUGAUUGUAAUUUUGAGAACUGCUGGUCUAAUACUACUGUUAAUCUUGAUAUUGACAUCCUUAUAUUCCCCAUAGAGACCCAACAACCUCCGAUGAUAAUUGAUCCUCUUUCUCCUCCUUGUUAUUUAUCUUAUGAUCGUAAGUCUACUCAGUUUCCUAUUUUGUCUAAUCCACUUACCAUGCAUCUUUUUCUCCUUUUAUAACCUCUAUUAACUGUUUAUCUGAGCCCUCUUCCUAUAAAGAGGCUAUACUUGACCGUCUUUGGCAGGAGGCUACGACAAAAGAACUCUUUACUCUGCACAAGACAAAUAUUUUAGAGUUAGUAAGUCUUCCUCCUGGAGAACAUGUUAUUGAAUCUCAUUGGGUAUAAUAAAAGAAUCAAAACUACAUUUGAUGGGUAAGUUGAGCGCUACAAAGCAUGUCUUGUUGCUAUAGUUUCUCUCAACAAUGUGGUAUGGAUUAUGAAGAAACCUUUUCUCCAAUGGCCAAGAUGAGUACUAUCUGCACUCUUAUUGUAGUUUCAUCAUUUCGUUAGUGGCAUAUUUCUCAAAUGAAUGUUAAAAAUGAUUUUCUAAAUGGUGAUCUUCACGAGGAAGCCUAUAUGGUACCUCCUCCAAGUGUUUCUCAUAAUUAUGGGGAAGUGUGUAAGUUGAAGAAGGCUCAAUAUUAUUUGAAAUAAGCUCCACAGGCGUGGUUUGAGAAGUUUACCAUUGUUAUUACAUAUCUCUAUUUGCGCUCUAGUGAUCAUGAAUCAACUUUAUUUCUUAGGACCACCUCUCAUGGUCUUAUUUUAAUUUCAUAUUAUGUGUUAAUGAUAUGAUAAUUAUAGGUGAUAAUGCUAAUGGUAUUGAUGAUUUGAAAUCAUAAUUAGCUAAAUAGUUUAAGAUGAAGGUUUUAGGUACUCUUAAUUACUUCUUGGGGAUUGAAGUUGCUUACUCUCUUAAAGGUUGCAUUCAAUCUCAAUCUAAGUAUAUUGCAAACAUCCUUGAACCAGCUCAACUUUCUAAUACUAGAGAAGUAAACAAUUCUCUUGAAUUGAAUGUGAAAUAUGCUCCCUCUGAUGGUGUUACUCUACCAGAUCUCACUUUGUAUCGCACUUUGGUUGGCAGCCUAGUGUACCUUAUGACUAACAAACCUGAUAUUGCUUAUGUUGUCUCUCCUGCUACCAUACAUUGGGAAGUUGUUCUUCGUAUUCUUCAUUAUAUUCGAGGAACCUAAUUCCAGAGCCUCUAAUUUCCCUCUUCGUCCUCAUUCGAGUUACAUGCAUAUUCUGACGGUGAUUGGGUUGGUGAAUCCAUAGAUCGUAAGCCUACCACAAGUUUUUUUUAUCUUUCUUGGAGUCUCUCUUAUUUCUUGGAAAAGUAAUAAAUAAGAUAUUGUAUCUCGCUCUUCUACAAAAACUGAGUAUCAUGUUGUGACAUCUACCACUACUUAUAUAGUUUGGUUACGUUGGUUACUUUCGGAUAUGGGUGUCACUCUUUCUGAACUAACUCAUAUAUAUUGUGAUAAUAUAAAUUCCAUUCAAAUUGCUCACAACUUAGUAUUUCAUGAACAUACCAUGCACAUUGAGAUUGAUUGUCACUUCACUUGUCACCAUCUUUAGCAUAGAACAAUUACUCUAUCGUUCAUCUCUUCCUCAUUGCAUAUUGUUGAUUUGUUUAUGAAGAUAUAUUCCAUUAAACAUUUUCAUUUCUUAAUUGACAAACUCUCGAUACUUCAUGUUAAUGCAUCAUGAGUUUGAGGAGAGAUAUUAGAUACACUAAUAUAAAAUACACAUAUGGUAACAUGUUAUUACCUCGACUCUUCAAUUAACCGAAGUAAUAGCUCUUAUUUAAACACCUACAUUUGUAUUUUAUUAAAAUACUUUUCACUAUGGUCCAUACUAAUAACUGUGGUGAUAUGUUGAGGCUUACAAACUUCAAAUUUCAGCAACAUCAAUUUUCUUUUUUUUAUUAGAAAAGGGAUGUGUCACUUAUAAUCUUAUAUUUAUAUUGAAAUUAAAUACAUUUCACCACAGUCUAAGAUAGAUACCGUUGUGAAACAUACCUAAUUUUCAUCACGAUUGUGUUUUACCAACUGUGAUGAAAAGUAUAACAUAUAUUUAAGCGAAAGUUAUCUCGUUCAGGACAGAACAACCUUCUCUCUCUUAAAACAAAAUCUAACAUUUCUCUCACACCUUUUGCUAAUCUCCAUGAACAGUUGCAUACCAUUUCUUCACAAAAUUCAUACAUCUCUUAUGGAUCAAGGAAAUAUGUUACGUAAAACUCAUUUCUUUCACUUCCUCUUCACAUUUCAGGUAUGUGAGACGUUUCCACAUUUUAUGUUAUGAGUUGUGAUAUUUUUGAUGUUUUUUAGCUAUGUUGUAUGUUGUUGAUAAAGUUGUAUGUUGUUGUUAAGGUAUAUUGUUGUUGAUAAAAGUUGUAUGUUGUUGUUGAGAAAAGUUAUAUGUUAUUGAUGAUAAUAGUUGUAUGUAUUUGUUAAGGUAUGUUGUCGUUGACAAAAGUUGUAUGUUGUUGUUGACAAAAGUUGUAUGUUGUUGUUAGGGUAUGUUGUUGUUGAUAAAAUUUGUAUGUUGUUGAUGAUUUUGAUUUUGUUGAUAAAAGUUGUAUGUUGUUGUUAAUAAAAGUUAUAUGUUGUUGUUAAGGUAUGUUUUUGUUAAUAAAAGUUGAAUGUUGUUAAUGAUUUUGAUUUUGUUGAUAAAAGUUGUAUGUUGUUGUUGAUAAAAUUUGUAUGUUGUUGAUGAUUUUGGUUUUGUUGAUAAAAGUUGUAUGUUAUUGUUAAGGUAUCUUGUUGUUGAUAAAAGUUGUGUUAUUGUUGAUGUUUUUGUUAUUUUUAAUGAUAUACCUUAUACAUUGUGACUUUCAUUACAUUUAGUCAACAUGUCAUAGAAAACGCGUUUAUUAUACCAUAUGUGGUUUGAGUAUUUUUCCAACUCCUCACUGAAUAUAUAACCUUUCGAAUUCAAUUAGAAAAUAAUAAUAUGAAAAAUUAAGUUAUGUUAGAAACAACUUACAUUAAUUAAUGUUUUACGUGCUUUCUUGAGACCAUUAUCUGUAUCCCGCUCUUUGAUUGUUAGAAUUUGGUUUAAUGUUUUUAGUUCUUUAAUCAACAUUUUCUUUUUUACUAGUUUGUUCUGCAAAAUUAAUACAUUGUAGAAUGAACUAGUAAAAAAAAGGAAGAGUUGAUUGAAGAACUACAAAUAUUAAAUCAAAUUCUAACAGUCAAAGAGUGAUAUACAGAUAAUAAAUUGUAGAAAGUUCAAAAAACAAUGAUUAAUGUAACAUGUUAUUCUAAUAUAACUUAAUUUGUCAUAUUAUUAAUUUCUAAAUCAGAUUAAAAGCUAAUAUUUUAUUAACAAGUUGAUGAAAUAAGCAUUCAACAUAGGUUAUAUUAAGCUCAAGUGAACAUAUCACAACAGUUGAUAGUUAUAACUAUGGUGAAAUAUAGUACGCAAAGUCUUUCACUACAAGUGUAACUUUCAACUGUUGUGAUAUAUUCAAAAAUAUCUCAAAAUUCUGGCGUUGAAUAUUGAAUCUCUAACCUCUACAUUUUACUAUAUGUAACACACUACUGAAUUUUUACUAGGGUUACUAAUCCUUGUGGUAAAACUAACACAUACUAAUGUUACCACAGUCAAAAUUCUAUAAACUAAUGAAAACUCUAAAAAUUCUCUUUUGUUAAGACUAAACAUUAUUAAUUAUUUGCUUUUAUAAAACAGAAAGAUGGGAGAAAAUUAUGAGUAAAGUAAAGGAUUCAGGUGGCGUUAAGUCUAUAUUGUAUAAAACACAAUGAUAGCAUCGUCUAGAUAAAUAAAUAAAAAAUAUUAUUAAUAUUAAUAUUUACAGAUAAUAUUAUUUUUCUUAUUUUAUAAUUUUAUUGUAAAUAUUUUAGCUGAUGUUAACUGAACCUUGGAGAUAUAUGAAACCAACUUGUCCAUUGAAUUUUGAUAUUUUUUGUUCUUAUCCAUAUAUACUGCUCUAUUGCUUUCUGCGGCAGCUGUGGUUUUGAUUUUAAUAAACAAGAUCGAGACUUUACAUGUUUGCAUCUUUUAUCUAUUCUUAUCUAAUUAUUUUAUCUUUUUGUGAGGGUUGACCCAUAGUACGAUAUUUAACAAAGUCAAUUAUAAUUAUUUAUAACGUAUUCAACAAAUAUUUCUUAACAUUAUUAAAUAUUAUUUUCUCCGACAAAGAUGUUAGAAUAUAUUUUGUAAAAAGAUUGUAUUUGAUUCGAUUUAAUCGAAGUAGUGAGUCUAAUAGAAAUUAGUUGUAUUCAAAUAAAUCGAAUACAAAAUUGUGUAAGUAUGUAUCUGAUUGAGUCGAAUGUUGCAGCUUGUAAGUUUGUAAGUUUGUAUUUUGGUUGUCUAUAUAAAGAGGUGACGAUGUAUACUCAAAAUAGUUUUUUAGAGCAACUUUAAUUUUAUAAAAUUCUCUCUUCACAUAUAAUUUCCCUCUCUUCUUUCUCCUGUAUAUUCUUCUUCUUCUUCUUGAUUCUUCUUGGAACCUAAGUGUUCCAACAAAUUGGUAUCAACGAGUCCGGUUGCGAUUCAUAGAGAAUUUGAAAUGGAAAAUGGUAAUACAACAUCAAUGCAAUUUCUAGUGAAUCUACCAGUUUUCAAAUGGGAGAACUAUGAGAGGUGGGUUGCGAAAAUGAAGGUCAUCUCCAGGUUUCAAGAUGUGGCUGAAUUCGUGAAUGAUAGAGUAUCGACAUUGGAAGCAAAUGCGAGCGAUGUUCAGAAGGCUGAGCACAGGGAACAAAGGAAGAAAGAUGGAAAAGCUUUAUUCUUGAUCCAUCAAUGUGUGGAUUCUAAUGUGUUCGGGAAUAUCAUUGAAGAAGAAUCAUCCAAAUGAGCGUGGGACAUGUUAAAGAACUUGUACAACGAAGAUGAAAAGCUAAAGACGGUGAAGUUGCAGACACUGAGAAAGCAAUUUGAGAUGACUCAAAUGAAGGAAAAUAAAUCAUUCUCGAAAAUUUUCUCGUGUGUGGUGUUACUGACAAACCAAAUGAAAGUGUGCGGUGAAUCAAUCAUUGAUUUGCAGAAGAUUGAGAAAGUGUUGAGAUCUCUGACUGAAAAUUUUGAUUAUAUUGUUGUGUCUAUCGAACCAUCCAAAAACCUGACUGAGAUGAACGCGGGAGAACUUCAAGCUUCAUUGGAGGCUCAUGAGAUUAGACUGAAGCAAUGGAACUCAGAAAGGGAGAAAGUGGCGAAACAGGAAUUGCAAGCAAGAUUCAUCAAGAAGUCUGAAAAAGAAAAGGCAAAGCAAAGAAAGAAUAUUGCAAAUGAUGAGAAGUCAAGCAAUAAUUCAAAGAAUCAAUCUGAUUCAAUCAAGAAAGACAUGAGCAACAAGUAUUCGGGGAAGAAAGCUGACAUGAAGGAGGUGUAGUGUUACAACUGUUAAGGAUUUGGUCAUUAUGCUCGAGAUUGUCGAAGAAAGAAGGAGUCAAGAGAAAAAGAUGAUGACAAAGUGCAAUAUGCACAUGUUAGGGGAAGUGACUUUGAUGAUAUGCUACUCAUGGAAAAUACUCGAUCGAAAAAUAAAUAAACCAAUAUAUGGUAUCUAGAUUCAGUAUGCAACAACCAUAUGACUGGUAAUAUAAACUUGUUUACCAAGUUAGAUGAAUCAGUCAAGAAAGUGAUCAAGUUUGUAGAUGGUAGGCAUGUCACUUCAGAAGGUAGAGGAAACAUAUUUGUGGUGAGAAAAGAUGGUAAGAAUGCUAGUAUUAAUGAUGUAAUGUAUGUACCUUUGAUGAUAAAUAAUCUGAUAAGCAUAGGCAUAUUACUUGCCAAAGCAUAUAACAUGAAGUUGGCAGAAAAUGUGAUAAAGGUGUAUAAUGGUGAAGGAACCAUUGGCAAAUAAAAAAACCUUCAAGAUUGAUAUCAACAUGGUUGAUCAUUAGUGUAUUGCUUCGACUGGAGUCGAAGACAAGAACUGGCCAUGGCAUCAUAGGUAUGAAGACCUAAACUUCAGAGGUCUAGAUAUGCUCAAUCAGAAGAAAAUGGUGUAUGACUUACCUCAAGUGAAGGAACCAAAUCAAGUGUGUGAGGAAUGCUUCAAAGCAAAGUAGGAUAAGAAAGCAUUCAAACAUGACAUGUCCAUGAAGUUGAGAGAAAAUUUGGAGCUUGUUCAUAAUGAUGUGUGUGGACCCUUUGAAGUAAGAUCGAUUGGAGGCAAUUGUUAUUUCCUAAAUCUCAUAGAUGAAUCCACUAGAUAUAUAUGGAUUUACCUUAUUAAAAGGAAGAAUGGGGUAUUCAUAUAGUUCAAGAAGUUUAAAUUACAUGUCGAUAAACAAAGUGGAUGCAAGUAAAAAAAAUUAAGAAUUGAUGGUGGUGGUGAAUACACCUCUAGAGAAUUUGCAAGAUUUUACACUGAUGAAGGUAUAGAGUAUGAGGUCAUUGCACCUUAUACACUACAAUAUAAUGAUAUAGAUGAGAGGAUAAAUAGAAGUAUAUUGAACAUGACUAGGAACAUGCUGAAAGCUAAAGAUAUGCCAAAGAGAUUUUGGGGUGAAACAGUUUUAACAACAAUAUACAUUUUAAACAGAUGUCCAACGAAUAAGAUAGUUGAGAAGACACCUUGUGAGGCUUGGACAAGACAAAAUUCAAAAUGUAUUCAUCUUAGAGUAUUUGGGUCAAUAUGUUUCAGGCGCGUACUAAGAAAUUGAGGAAGAAGCUAGAUGAUUGACGUUAUACCAUGAUGCUCAUAGAUUAUCAUUCGACUGCUGCAUACAAAUUUUAUUCAUCAAAUGAUGAUAAACUUGUGAUCAGUGAGGGUGUUCUAGUGGAUGAAAGCAAGUAUUGGGAUUGGAUUAAUGUGUCAGUUUGACAGGAGGCAGAUAUAAUCACUAUUGUUUGAAAAAUAUAACAAACUGAAGUCACGACCAAUCGAAAUGAAAACCACAUGAGCAGAAUGUUAGAAAAUCGGCUAGAGCAAGAAUUGAGUCGACAAGGAUAGUUGGAUAUGAGAUAUUUGUAGAUAAAGAAGUUGAUGCAAAUGGUGACUUAUUAUAAGGAGUUAUGAUGAUGGUUGAGACAGAACCAAUUGAUUUAGAUCAAGCCAUGAAUGAUUCAAAUUGGUUAGCAGCCAUGCAAGAAGAACUCAGGGAAAUCGAGAAGAAUGAGACCUGAGAGCUUGUCGAAAAGUCAAUUAAGAAGCCAAUUGAUAUGAAGUGGGUCUACAAGUUAAAACUAAGGUCAAAUGGUGAAAUUUCCAAGCAUAAGGCAAGACUGGUGGCAAGAGGUUUUUUUUACCAAAACCUGGUAUUGAUUUCGAUGAAGUUUAUGCACUUGUUGCAAGAUUGGAAACCACUAUAAUAGUUGUGUCAACUGCAACAUUCAAAGGAUGUAAUAUACAUCACCUAGAUGUAAAGUCAGCAUUUCUGAAUGGACCUUUGGAAGAAGAUGUCUAUGUUAGUUAACCACCAGGAUUCAAAAUCAAAGGGCAGGAGUCAAAGGUGUACAGAUUGAGGAAGACUCUAUAUGGUUUGAAGCAAGUCCCAAGAGCUUGAAAAAAGAGAAUAGAUAGCUUCCUAAUCAAGGAGGGUUUCACAAAGUGUACUCUAGAGCAUGGAAUGCAUGUAAACAAUGCUAGCAGACUCAGUCGAGUCAUCAUAUGCUUGUAUAUGGAUGACUUGCUGAUUAUAUGUGCAUAUGAAGUAAAAAUAAAAGGGGUUAAGUCGAAACUGAUGCAGGAGCUUGAAAUGUAUGACCUAGAAAACUUAUCAUAUUUUCUAGGGAUGAAAUUUUAAGACACACGAGAAGGAGUGUUCUUGCACCAGAAGAAGUAUGCCUAAGACACCAUGAAGAGGUUCAAGAUAAACAUUUGUAAUGCAACUGCCACACCAUUAGAGACUGAAGUAUAAUUGAGAAAGGAGACAUAUGAUGAGUUUUUAAGUGCAACAUUAUACAAGAAAAUCAUUGUAUCCUUGAGAUAUCUUUGCAACACAAUGCCAUAUAUUUGUCAAAGUGUCGAGUUGUUGAGCAGAUUUAUGGAGAAGCCACAAGAGUGUCAUUUAAUUAUAGUUAAAAGAGUGUUGAGUUACAUAAAAGGUAUAAUUGAUCAUGGUGUGUUGAUGCCAAGGAGAAAGAAUACCAGCACAGAUGCAAAAGUACAUGGUUACACCGACUCAGAUUUCAGUGAAGAUCAAGAUGGGAAGAAGAGUAUUGCAAGGUACAUAUUCAUUAUUGGAGGUGCUCAAAUCUCUUGGAGCUCAAGAAAACAAAACAUUAUGUUUUUGUCAUCUCGUGAAGUUGAAUGUGUGGAUGCAUCGUAUGCAGCAUGUCAAGCAUUAUGGAUAGAUAUGUUGCUCGAAGAGCUCAAGAUCAUGGAACCUACGAAAAUUAAGAUGUUUGUCGAUAAUAAGUCAGCAAUCGACCUGGAAAAUCAUCUUGUGUGUCAUGGUUGAAGCAAACACAUAUAGAGAAGACAUCAUUUUCUUAGGGAUCAUGUAAAUAAAGGGAAGUUUGAACUUGAGCAUUACAAGACAGAAUGACAACUAACUGAUAUACUCAUUAAAUCCUUGAAGAAAGUCAAGUUCGAUGAGUUAAAGAGAAGCAUUGGAAUGAGAAGUCUCGAAAACAUGAAUUAGAUGGUGUGUUAGAAUAUGUAAUUCAUUGUUUUGUAGAAAAUAUUGUAUUCGACAUAGGUGUGUUUGACCUAAUCGAAGUAAUGAGUCUAAUAAAAGGUAGUUAUAUUCGACAGAGUUGAAUACAAUAUAUAAUUGCCAAAUUAUGUAAGCAUAAAUUCGAUUGAGUCAAAUGCUGCAGCUUUUAAGUUUGUAAGCUUGUAAAUUUGUAUUUUGAUUUCAUAUAUAAAGAGGCGACGAUGUAAACUCAAAAUAAUUUUUUAAAGCAACAUUCAUUUUAUCAAAUUCCCUCUUCAUAUAUAUUUUCCUCUAUCUUUUUCUUGAAACUUAAUUGUUCCAACAAUAGGUUAUUAUAUAUUGUAUUUAUUUUUGGUGUAAAUAUUUUAUAUAGAUAUUUAAUCAUUUGUGCAGAAAAGAAUUAGCUUCUAACUAAAAGUUUUUUUCUUCUAGUUUUCCUUUAAAAAAUAAAAUAUAUUCUCUAAAAAUUAUAUUAAAAUUCAUAUUUUUGUCAUAGACAAGAAUGAUUCUUUACUCUAAAAUUGUGUACUAAGUUGUUUUGCUUGUAACGAAAAAACAUAUAUAUAAAAUGUCAAAGUUUUUGACAGUGCCACACAACACAUGAAAAGCAUGGGAUGUAAAUUGAAUGAAUCAAGUCCAUUCAAACUAUGUACGGUUUAAAUUAAAAUAUAAAAAAGUUAUUAUUUUAUUCAAACUUAUUAAAGUUUAUUCUUACUCGUCCUAUAUGUGAGGUUAAAUUUAAUUUAUUUUAAAAUAUAUAGAGAGAGUUGGAUUUAAAUAUUCUUAUGUUGAUUAGUUUAUAAUCAAGUAACUUAACAAAAUUUAUUAAUAAAUUUGGAUUUAUUUGAUUAAUUUAUCAAUUACAGUUAAUACAUGCAUGUGGAAACUUAAGACUCCUUGAGUGAGACAAAGUUGUUUGUCUUCUUAUCUCUAUUUCAAUGAACUAAUGUGAUGAAACUUAUGAUAACUGAAUCCUAUGCAUAAAUAACUACAGUAUGUAAACAAAGUAUUUUAUUAAGAAAUAAAACUUCUUUUUUAAAAGAAGUUGUUAACAUAUGCCAUUGAUUCAUUGUAGUUUUCAUUAAUGGGGAAUAGAAGGAAACAAAACUGAAAAAAAAAAUUGUUGAUUAAUAGUGUUACAAUAGGUGACUUUAUAUAACCUAAAGUCCUAACAAUAGUAUAUAGAAAAAAAAUCUCUAAAAAGAGGAUGGUUAUGUCAAAGUAAUAAUAACUUACCAUAACUAAAUACAUCGACUUAUAUGUUUACGUAUGCAAUUUGUCUUCAAUAAGAUGACAAUUUAGUUUAAUGUAUUUCGUUCUUUCGUGAAAUAUUGGAUUUUUUCUAUAUAAAUUGUGAUGUGGUUGUUACAAAACAAAGUAACUGGGUUGGAGUGGGUGAGGUUGAAAUCAUGUAAUAGAUAAAGAAGCCAUUAGGUUUCAAAAACCGUGUUUGCAACAACUUUGUAUUUCACUUUUGAGGAUGAUCGAGAAACAACUAGUUGCUUCUUGCUUUUUCAGCUUAUUAGUGAUGUUUCAAGAAUAUAAAAAACGUCAAUGAUUUAUGUCCUUGUGGUUUGACAAGUACCCCCAAUCUGAAUAAGUGAAACCAAUCAAAUUGGUUGUGGAAUCACGUUUGAAAAAUAACCCAAAAGUUGGUGCAUUCUUCAAGUAUUGUAAUAUUCUGAUGGCUACUUGAAGAUGAGACUCAUUUGGUUUUGUUAAGUAUUGACUCAACUUGCAUACAUCAUACCUAAUAUUAGAACGUUAGUGAGUUGAAUAUAAAAGUUUACCAAUCAUGUUUCUGAAAAUUGUUGGAUCAGGAAGAACUUUAGCUGACUCAUUGUUCAGUUAAUGAGUAGGAUCCAUGAGAGUGGAUGUCGACUUAGCUGCAAGAAGACAUGCUUCCUGGAGAAGGUCUAGUGUGUACUUGUGUUGGAAAAGAGAUAUGUCUUGGGAUGGUGUGGAUAUUUCAAAAUCAAGGGAGUACUUGAGGUGCAAUAGGUCUUUUUAAUACUGGAAUUAGUGUCCAAAAUAGAUUUAAGGUUGUGUAUUUAUCAUAUGUUGCUACCCGCAAGAUUGAGAUCAUUAACAUAGACAAUUAUAACAUCAAAAUAAUUAUCAAUUUUCUUUGUGAAAAGAGAAUAAUUAGAUUUAGAAUGAUGUUAACCCGAAUUGGAUAAAGUGGAUAUUAGUUUGUUAUUCCACUACGUACUUGUUUGCUUAAAGCCAUAAAUCAUAAAUGGAUUUAUUAAGCUUGCAAACUAGGUUUUUGUGGGAAGCUUUCAAGCCAGGAGGACAUUUUAUAUAAACUUAUUCAUUUAAGUUCUCAUGUAAAAAGGAUGUGUUGAUGUCAAGCUGGUGUAAAUAUUGUUGAACAUGUGACUCCACAUAUAAGAGGGAGUGAAUUGUGGGGGGUUAAAAAACAAAAAUCUAAAACAAACUUUUCUUCUGUUUCAGAGCUCAAAAAUAUUUUCAAGAAAAUGUUUGAAUAUUGUAGAAGAAAAACAAGAUAAAGAGAAUAUGCGAAAAGUAAAGAGAUAAUAGAAAAUAGAUGACACCAGGAUUUCUAGAGGCUCGGUCUAAAUGAAGUGACCUACUCCUAUCCCAAGAUUUUAUCAUGAGAGUAUCCAAUAAUACUUAUGAGCUUUUAGUAGGUUAAGCUCAUGAACCCCCUUAUACAAGGAAAAAUGAAGUUACAUGUUUACUUCAAACAAAACAACGAACAACAGAAUGAAGUGAUUGGUCAUCCUUAUAAAUAUAAACAAAUCUUUGAACGGUUAGUACUCAAGCUAAACCAAGAUUUUAUACGGACUUAUCUCAAACCAAUACAGAGUUUUGAACUGAAUAUCAUCCAAAUUGAACUGAGGUUUUUCACGAGCUGGCCAUGAAAUGAACAUAAAUUUUACACCAUGCUGAUCUCAAACAAAUUAGAGCUUAUACACCGGGCUGAGCUCAACAAUCGAAGAAAAUAUUUUUCACUGGUUAUCUUUAAAAAUCUAGAAAGAUAGCUUUUUCUUAAGUGGCUUAACUCAGAAACCAAACGGUGACUUAAUAAUAAAUCCCCAAACAAAGCUUUUAACAAUUUAGAUUUGAAACCAACCAAACACUUCCUAAGAAAAUAUAUUUACUUAAGAGAAAAAUAGCUCUUGGUGAAUUUAUAAUCUUACCCUUUCUAGAACAUGUUUCCUCACUUAAACACAAGGACUUUCUCAAAGUGCUUUGGCUAAGUUAAUGUGAGAGAAAGUAGACAAAUAUUUUUAGAAAUGAGAUAGCUCACGUUUUUGGAUGUGAAAAGUGAAUGCAGAGGCCUCUAUUUAUAGGCCAAAGGUUGGUACGAAAAAGAAAAAGAUCCAUGGGCAAAAUUAAUCGCCAAUCAAUUGGGUCCUUAUCCCAAUCGAUUGGAUGACCUAAAUAAUUGAUUAUAAUUGCUCAUUUUGAAAAGUGUUGAUUGAGAAUUGUUACCUUUCUUUAAGACAAUGUCACAAUAGAUUAUGGAUAAAGUUUUCCCUUAUCCAAUCGAUUGGGAAUAUGCUCUAAUCAAUUGGACAACUCAAAAUACAUGUCCUAAUCAUUCUGACAGUUUCCAAUUCAUCAAGUUAGCCUCCAAAAACAUUUUUGGGUUAUUUUGUUUGAGAAGUAGAGGCUUUACAAAUGAUUUUAGUGAGUGUGCGAUUUAUCCAUAAUAUUUUACGAAAAUGUCAUUGUGUUUUUACAAAACAAUGAUCACUCAAACACGAUCUAACGAGCUUUCACACUUUCUCUCUUUAACACUUUGAAGCUUCAAGACUUUGCCGAAUACACCAAUAAUAUAAGCACUUGCAUGAGUAUUCUUGAAAAUGAGGCUUGAUAUAUCUUCAAGUUGGAUGCCAUUAUUCGAGGGUAUCAAAGAUGAUUAUUAAACCCUAACUCUUCGACUUUCUUCGGAGGAAGAGCUUGAACAAACUAUCCUAUAUAUCAUUGAUUGCUUGAAAUACUUGCUUGUCUUUAAGUCAAGUCGUCUUCACAAGUUGUCACCAAAAAUGAGUUUUCAUCAUAAAAAUCAUGAUAUGCAUGAAUUUCUUAUAUUUGAUCAUUCUUGAUUAAACAUGCAAGCACAUAUUUUCACAUUCUCUCCAUUUUCUAUGAUGACAACACAUCUAUCAGGGAGGUGGUAAAAGAAAUAAUAAGUAGAUAAGAAAUGGAGUACUUAAACUCCCUCUCAAAUGAGUAGAGAGUAUACUCUACUCCUUAGAGAGUAUGCAUCUCCCCCUUUGUUAUAAUAAAAAAGGCGAGUAAAAGAUGCAAGGUAGGAAUUCAAAAAUGCAAGAACAUAGUCACAUCAGCAUUUAGAAAGGGAAACACAUAUUUUGUUUAUUUUAAUGCAUGUUAGAGUACGAGAUGGAAAAUUGAAAAAAGAAAAAAAUAAUAGCAAAUAAGCAAACAACUAAUUCAUCUUUUCAUCAUCAUCCUCAUUGGACACCAUUGGAGAUAUAAGAGUUGAUUUUUCCAAUUUCUUGAUGAGCUUAAAAAGCCUUGAAUGCAUCAGCUGCUAGUCUUCACGAAUAUCAUUCAUUAAGGAUACUUGAGGAGGAUUGAGGGAGGUCAUUGUUUGCUUGUUGUUUCCUUGCUCUUGUUGGUUCCUUUAGAGGUAGAGAGAUGAUUUCCUUUCCUUGAAUGGCGUACCUCAUCAGACUCAAAGUGCUUUUUCCUAUUUUUGAGUGUUUGAUCUUUGAUUCCACUUCAUCCAUGUUGUAGCCUGAUGGACUAAACUAGCAAGUCUAUUAGUCUCGUUGAAGUAAUAAAAUAAUUCGUUUCCAUAGGGAUUGCGAAUUUAAACAAGGUAAUAACAAUGCAAUUUAAAUUAAAUAACUGAGUGUCUUCAGUUAUGAUUUGGUACAAAAACAAAGAUGACAAAAACUUUCAGAGUAAAGUUCAAUAAGAAAAAGAGAUUAUAUAUUUGUAGCGAAUCCCCUAAUUAUAUCACGUAAAGGCUCUCUAAUGGCUUCAAUGCACUCCAAAUUCGUUCACAAAAGUUCUUGGUCGUCACUUUCUCUCUAAAAUUCGUUACCCCAAAAAAGGUCUCCAUUUUUUCUAUUUAAAGUUGCCAAAAGUGUGUCAUAAAUUCGCGUCAUCGUGACCGUGUUGGAAAGCAUCACGAUCGCGACAUUUCUUCAUCGUGGUCGCGACAAAACCAUUAGAAAAACAUGUUUUUUGCUUCCUUUUUCUUCUAAUUUUCACUAAGUCCCAACUUUCUUCACGUUUGGAGAUUUUUCUCACUUAUUCAACAUUUUAGCUUGGCUUUUGCUUAUAAUUCUACUGAUUUAUCUGCAAUUGCUCGCAAAUAUUAUGUUAUGAUUGCGUGUCAUCAUAGCCAGAUUACUCUAGGAUUUUCGUGAUUAGUUCAUCAUAUGGUAUAAUCAUGUUUUUAUUUUUACUAUCCAUCAUGUGAUGGAUCACAACGUCAAUCCAAUUUUUCUAAACAUAGUUUUCCAAAAACCAAAUUGGAGGUAUGCACGAUUUGUGUAUGGUAUUGGAGUUGUUCUUUCUUAUGAAGAAAACAUAACUCACUAUAUAGUGAAGCAACCGAAUUUCCAGGGGUAUAAAGCUAACAGUGAAUGGAUUAGGAAUUCUGGAAGAUUGAUCAAUAAAAAAGGAUUGGGCACUGAGAUCAAAUGAUUGAUUGGUGUGUGAUAGGUUUGAAACUCGUGCAAACUCUUCAAUGUUAGUUGAAUGAGAUGCUUUUUAACUUCGGAGCAAAGAACACUUUUGGAGUAGGAAAGGUUUGCAUAAAACAUUCGCACCAAUUUGAGAAAUAUUUCUUGAGGUACUUCAAAGACGAAAUUCCUCAAGCCGACAUCAUUAAAGACUUUGACAAAGUUGUACUCUUUGAAAAUUCCUUCAUCCAAGUAGCGAGAAACACACACACACAUACAUAUAUAUAUAUAUAUAUAUAUAUAUAUAUAUAUAUAUAUAUAUAUAUAUAUAUAUAUAUAUAUAUAUAUAUAUAUAUAUAUAUAUAUAUAUAUAUANNNNNNNNNNNNNNNNNNNNNNNNNNNNNNNNNNNNNNNNNNNNNNNNNNNNNNNNNNNNNNNNNNNNNNNNNNNNNNNNNNNNNNNNNNNNNNNNNNNNUACAGUAGGUAUAUGAAACCUCAUAGAAGAGCAGCUCAAACAUUCUUUUGAAUUGAUCUUUGUGGAUGCUAAUUUUUACUCCUUUUAUGAUUUACCUUAAGGAUGGAUCUUUAAACGUUAGGUUUGAGUAGAAUUCUCUCAUAAGAUUAGGAAUAGUCGUUCUAAUAUCUCUGUGAAGAACUCUAUUAGCAAUCCUUAACAAAUAUGAGUGUACAAAUUGAAGUUGUUGAGGAAGUUUUCCUCCAUAAUCGUGAGCUGUAUCACUUUUUGGUUGGACAUCACACUCCUUUAUAUAUUUCUUAAUGUUGUACCUUUUACAAAUAGUCUUCUUGAUGAAGUGAUUCCAUAUUUAAGGCUUUUUGUUGAGGUCAUGAGUGAUGAUACUUAUGGCUUAUAGUGAAACACACACAAAGAACACAAGAAGAAGAAAAGAGAAUGAGAUACAAAAUAAGGGAAUAUAGUUAACUAUUUAUAACAAUCUUUCUAAAGGUUUAGGCGUGUAAAAGUCUCACAAAAUCACUGAAGAUUUGACCCAAAAAAUAUGAGAAGCACAUAUUUCCAAAAUAGGUCAUCUAAUCGAUUAACCUUUUGCCCAAAUCGAUUAGACAAUGAUGAUAUUGAAGAUAUUGCAGCUCUCCAUUAAUGUACUAAUUUGUUUUGCUCGGAGGCGAAAACUCAAUUUGAUUUUGUAUUAACUUUGAAACGUGUAAGUUACUUAAUAAAUUAGUUUCUUGUUUUUCAACCUCCUUGGUGCUUUUGGGCUAUGGGUUAGAAAUUGGCUAUGACAUAGUACUUUUUUCACCAUUGCUAAUUACGUUUCCACCAUUUUCUUGAAAAACGCUAUAAACUCAUAUAUUUUAUUAGUGAAAAUAAUUUUAAAUCGAUGAACAAAUAAUAAAAGCACUUAUUUAGAGAAUUAAUCAAAGUUUUAUGAUUAUUAAACCUCUAAAAAGUGUACUCCCUAAACCUUACCCUUUCGAGGGAACGACAACAUAUUGUCGUAUGUCCUUCUCUUUUAAUCAUUGGAUGCAAGAGUUUGUUAAAACACGAGAUAAAUAAAUCCACUACAAGAUCAUCUUUUCAACAUAUUAAAAGGUUAACUGAUCAUCACAUAUCAUAAAUGUUGAGACCAUCCUCAACAAAUAUUUGCUUUGAUCAUGACCGUUGAUAUAGACCAUCCAUGAUCAUUCUUGGAACACAAGCUUCAGUAUAAUCCAACACUACUAGAUACGUCAUGUAUACUCAAGAGUAUAUUUUUUGAUUUGCAUAACUUUAUUAAACAAGAAUUAUGACUUCAUUAAAACUAUUAAACAUCUUUGCAAAACACACUAGAUUUCACGUUUGGUAUCCAAAUUUUCCCGGGUCCUAAUAUGUUUAAUAUGUUAGUAAUUCUAAAAGGUAUAUGGUUACUACCUUCAGACCUUAAUUUAUCAAAAUAAAAUGGCUAUAGGUGGUCAAGUCUAUUACAGUAAGAGCAUCUAUAAAAACGACGAUUCCCUUUCUUCCUAUUAAACCUUUUACUGAGUGAUCUAUUGGAUUUAAAUCCCAAUCCAUUUUUAUUCAAGGAAGGCCUUUGAUUUAAUACAAUAAAAUCAAUGUUUUCUUUUUCCUUAAUAAAUUUACUUAGAUUUUAUGCAAAAUUUUCACUUUAUUUUUCAUUGAGACACAAGUCUCACAUGUUCUAGCUUGGUUUCUAAUGUUAGCUAUUUUAAAAUUAAGUGUUUCAUUAUUCUUUUCUAAAACUCAAGAUAAUCUUCAAGAUCUAAGUUAUGCUUUUUAAUCUUACCAUUUUCUUCGAUUAACUCAGCGUUUAAUUUAAAUAAUUAUUGUAUGAUAACUUCGUCACCCCAUGAUCAUUUUCUUCGUGAGGUGUCUUCAAACGAACUUCAUCUUCUUCGUUGGAAGAAGAUUCUACUAAAGGUUGAUUCUUCGAGUUUUCUCCUUGAUGUUGAAUCUUUGAAUAUCUUGCUUGUUAAGUUAUCCUUCUCAUCCUUCUUUCAAAUAGUCCACUGGAUGCAACUUCUUCUUCAUGUUCUCUUUUUGAUGAAGUUUCUCCAUUGGAUGUUGAAUCUUCCAUGAAUCUUCAACCACUGAGAUUGCUCUUUCGAAGAAGAUUACUAAAGUUGAUUCUUCUUCACAUGAGUUUGUUGAUGAAGUAACUACAAAUUCCUCUAGAUUUAAGCUCAUGCCUCCAUCCUUGAAUAAUUGAAUAAACUCAUUCAAUUUAUCAACACUUUUUUCCUUCUUGGAUAUUUUUUAAAAAUCGCAAACAUUUCCAUCUCUCGAUUUAAGGAUUGAACCAGAUUUCUGAACCCAACUCUUAACUCUUAGAUUAUUCGUUAAUAACAUAAGUUUUAAUACUGUUUCUAAAAUUUCUAAAGAUAGAAAAACAUUUAUGAAAUACACAUUUAUCUUCUUCACCUCGAUCUUAUUCGAUGGUCGAAGAAACUCUAUAAAAGUGUCCAAUUUUUUUUUUGGUAGAAUUAAGCUAUAUUACAUUAUGAAUUUGUGUGCAUUUUUUUUAAAUAAACAUUUAAAAAAAAGAAAAAUAGUUUAUUGCAAAAACUCCCUGUCAAUUUUUUUUAUAUCUUGUUGAAAAAAUGAAUAAAGAAUGUAAAAUAUUAAUUUACCCCGCACGUGCCUAAGUUUACGACUUCAUCUACAGCUUCAGCCCCAUUCAGAACAAAAGCAUAUAUCACUUCGUUUCUCACUCCCUCAAACAGAAAACGCAGAAUCUUCAGAAAACAAAAUUAGGGUUUCGAAAUUGCGGUGAUGGCGUUUUACGGUCGCGUCAAAUCUGGGAUCUCUCUUUGCAACAAAUUAGGUCUUCUUACUUCUCAGAGAUCUACUCUUCAACGCUCCCUCAUUGCCCCUUCCAUUUCUCAGGUGAAUAAUCCGUUAUCAAUUUCAAUCUCUUAUUCAGUAAUUUCGAUUUUCCCUUGAUUUUGAUUCGAUUCGAUAAAUCAAUGUUCGAUAAACUUAUAGAUCGUUGAUUUACAUGUUGUUUAACCUAGUGAUCAAAUGUGUUAGACUUAGAGCUUGAUUUUUGUGAGUAGUUGUUUGAGAAAUUACCCCUUUACGGACAUAUCCUGUUAAAUUGGUCAUCCGUUUUUGUUGGGAGAAUGUUUUUUCACUGAUUGUUUUAAUUUUGUGUCCAUUUUUUGAAUGGGUGUGUGAGAAACGACCCCUUUUAUGCAUACAACCCAUGAGCACCGACACCGGAAACACGGUACCGGUAAUGAUUUGAAAAAAAUGAAUAUAUUAGAGGUAAUUGCAAUUACAUGUGUCGAUUUUGGACACUGACAUGGACACAUUGCUUUCACAGGUGUAGGUGCCACAGAGCAUAAGACCCAUUAAAUUGGUCAUCCGAUUUUGCUGGGAAAGUUUACGUUUAAAAUAAAUAUUGUUGCUCCAUUUUUUAAGUUUGUCAGUAAGAAAUGACCAUUUUAUGCAUAUAUAGCCUAUGAACUGGUCAUCUGUUUUUUGUUGUUGUUGCAUUUAGGUAUGUGAUUUGGAGUGUUGGAACUUGCAUUCUCAUUUUCUGUUGACUGUUUUGAGGUCUCUGUCAUAUUUCAGCUUUUCAUAUUGUUGGUUGCAAUUGUUUUGUUUUUUUAGAGGGCAAUGAUGUGUUAUCCAUUUUUUUGUUGUUGCACUUAGGCUUGUGAUUGUAGUGUAAGAAUUUGCAUUCUCAUGUUGUGUUGAUUGUUUUGAGGUUUCUUAUACAUUGGAUUCAGUUCUCUGCUUCAUAUUUCAGCUUUUCAUAUAUUGUUGGUUGCAAUUGUUUUUUUUUUGGGGCAAUAAUGUUUUAUCUUUUCGUCUUAUGUUUGUGCAGGCCUCCAGAAAUUAUGCUGACGUGCCGGGGCAAAAGGAAACCAAAAUUAAGGUAAUCAGAUAUAUUGGUCUUGAAUGGUUCAUUUCUUUAUGUGAGUAGUAGAAGAAGAAAAUAAAAUAUAUAAACUCUAGAUUUUAAGUUCAGUUAAUUAAAUAAAACUGCAAGGACUAAUUUGAUAUCUCUUUUUUGGUUCAGUACUUGUUUACUGAAUUUUUUUUCUGUUUCAUAAUUGUAUUUUCUUUAGGUCAGGUUGAAUAUUUGUUAAUUUUUAUUUUUCCAUCUAUUUUAUUGUUAUUGGAUUGAUUUGUUUUUCCCUCAAUCUUGUUGAUUUUUAUUAUUGUUUUAGGUCCCCAUUGCAAUGUUUGGAGGUUCAGGAAACUAUGCCUCUGCUUUGUAUAUUGCAGCAGUGAAAGUUAAUGCAGUCGAAAAGGUUGACUCUGAGCUUCUUCAGUUCGUUGAGGGAGUAAAGGGUAGUUCCAUAACCUCACAAUUUAUAAAGGAUAUAUCUGUGGCUAAGGAUCUUAGAGUAAAAGUCAUCCAGGAUAUUGCCAGCCAAGCCAAGUUUUCUGAUGUGACAAAGAACUUCCUUGGUAAGAUAGGUUUUACUUAUUAGAGUAUUGUUUUAAUUAAGUUACUGUUUCAAUUAUGUUGCUAAAGUAAGUUUGAAUUGUUUUAACGUGAUUUUAUAAUCUUGAAUCAGAGAAAUUAUUUCAUUUUUGUUUCCUUCCAUUGCUAAAAGAAAUUCCACUUCAAUGACGUUUGCAUCUAAUUCACUUUCUGAUUCACUACAGAGAUCAAAUAUAAGUUACAAACCGGUUCACAUUGGGUUUUAUUUUCUCUAGACUAAAUAUUUUUGUAGUUCUUGUAUAUUUGGUUGGGGUGCAAUGCUCACAGUUCAAUGAUUUAAGGCUAUAUAAUGAGAUGGGGGUGCGUAGAGUGUUUACAAAUAUCGAAUCGUCGGCUUUAUUGCAUUUUGAAUCUCUUUGGCUUAUUGCUUAUUAUUGUUACACAACGAAUUAAUCGCUCAAACAUGAUUGAGGAAAUUUAUGUUUUAGUUGGUGUCUCUCAGGAGUGCCAUCAAUUUAUAAAAACUUCGAGUUAGUUAUUAACUUAUUAUUUUAACUUGGAUGGGAUAUGUGGAAUUUUUAUCCUUUUCUGGGCUGAUUUCUAGUCACAGGUAUCACAUAUGCCUCAAUCUGAAGUGGCAAAGUUAUCUGUUUUGAUGUAUAAUCCACCGGAAUGAUACAUGAGAGUUUCCUGCUGUCUCUAGAACAUCAAUCCUGAAAUGGAUGUGAAUAAAUUUUUUUCCCAUAGCCUCUAUCUCAUAGCAUUGUGCUACUGCUACCCUGAAGUUUCCAUUGAUUUCAUUUAUGUCUUUAUUUGUUCAUGUUAUGCAAGUCCAACCUAAUUAAUCGAGCCAAUUCUGCUUGUGAAAGACUCACAUCUUUCACUGGGUUCUAGGUAUUCCGUCGACGUAUUGUCAUUACCACCAGUUUAUCUCAAAUGUUUUGAUUACAUUUAUUUUCACUUUUAAUAUCAAGUUAUCAACUAAAUUAUGGAUACAAAAUAUUGAAAAUAAUCAUUUUCAACAAAUUUGCUCAUGUUUAUAAAUGUGUAUUUGUUUUUCUUUAGGUUGUCUAGCACUUAAUAUAAACUAUUCUUAGUUACCAGACAUUAGACCCCUUGUGUGGCACAUAGGGUUUGAUUUUGCUUGAAUUUUAAAUUUGUUUUACCAUCUAGUUUAGAACAACUAGAUAAUUCAAUCCAUAGGAACCAUUACAUAAAAAAGAAAAGAACCCCAACAAUAGUGCUAACGAAAAUGGAGUCUCACAUUGUAAUCCUUUUGUACUUUUCUCAGUCAUAGGAUUCAGCUGUAUGUGUAUCAAUGGGCUUUAUAUAUUAUUAUGCUGGAUUAUGUAUUCCUUAAUCUGAAGAUCAUUAGUCUGUGCUAUAACCCGCUGCAUACAAAAAUUCACAUAAGUGAUGAUAAAGACUUCUGUUUUCCUAUCUUUUUCCCCAUAGAAAGUAUACAAGGUCAUUUAACAAAAAUAUAAUAUUAGUCAACAAUAUGUAAUGUCAUGGUAUUUAGAAUUUUGAAUGUUUUAUGCUUGUUUUGUUGUCUUGGAAGACUACUAGUUACACCCCUGUCCCUUCAUAUACUUAAUUGCUGAUUUUGAAGUUUGUUGUGUUAGAAUAUAUGAUACUCCCUCUGGUCCUAUUUAUAAGAAAAACUUUACUUUUUAGAUACAUUGGUAUAUUAUCUUAAUCAUCUCAUACGAUUCUUAUCUUAUAAUAUCUUUGACCACUUCUUAAGAUUAGUUUUCAUUAAUCUUUGUCAUUAUCAUGAUUUGUUUCCUUGUUUAAUUGCGAUUUGGAGUGUUGUAUUAGUGUAGAUAAGGGUUAGUUUGUAGUCUUUUCUUUAUGAAAUUGUAGACCUCAAUAUAAUAUCAUACCAUAUUCAUAACUCAAAGGCUUUAUUCUUUCUCCUCUUUUGUGAUAUAAAAGCAUAUAACUUUAUCGUAGUAUCAAAGCGUACUAUCCUCUGUGACUUGUUCCGUCAUUAUUUUGUUUAUAUAGUUCCUCAGAACUUUGAAACACUACUAAAAUUUGAAAUUCUAUUUUCUUGUACCCAAUUUGGCUUUCUCUUGUUCUGAACAAGAUGUGUUUUGAAGUUCUCUGCUGUGGUGUCAUCCACCUACCUUGUUUUCGGUGUUCAUAUUCUAUCCCGUGUCAACUUUCUGGUGCGUUCAAAACCCUCUCCUCUGUUGUAUCCUUUUUUUUCGGGCAGUUCUGAAUUUCUAAGCUGCAGUUUGGCAUUACUUUUUGUCUCAGUUGUGGUUUUGCACCGAUUUUGUUGCAGUUGCUGUUUGAUGUUGGUUUUGUCUCAGUUUGGGUUUGUCAAUGUUUUUUUCUUUGCUCUGCAUUAUUUUUGAUGUGUUCAUAUUCUUUCCUGUGUCAACUUUCUGACGUGUUCAAACCUUUUCCUCUGUUGUAUCCUCUUUUCGGUCUGUUCUGAAUUUCUAAGCUGCAGUUUGGCACCAGUUUUAUCUCAGUUAUGGUUUUGCACGGAUUUUGUUGCAGUCGCUGUUUGAUAUUGGUGUUGUCUCAGUUUGGGUUUGUCAAUGGUUUUCUCUUGGUUGUGGUUUGGCACCAGUUCCGUCUUAGUUGCUGUUUGUAUGGCACUAUUUUGCCUUUGUUGUAAUUUUGCAUAGUUUUGUCUCAGCUGUAGUUUGUCUUGAUUGCACUUUUGUUUUUCAAUAUUGCAGCCUGGCGUAAGUUUUAUUCUUGCUGCAGUUUGGUCUUGACUCUUGUUCUAUAUGUAUCUGGCCCCGACAAGCUUCAAUAUCAAACCAUACUGUUUGGUUAUUUUUCUCUUUCAAAGUGUACUCGUGAAAAGCUAAUAAGGUUUAGUUUAGGGAAGUGUUACGUAAUUGAAAAUAUCAUAAGUAUCUACUAUCUCAAAGGGUUAGAUAAGUUUCUUAUCAUAGAUUAUAUUGGAGUAUCUCUUAAGAUUAGUUUCCGUAUUUCUUUAUCAUUAUCAUGAUAUGUUUCUCUGUUUAAUUAGGAUUGAGUUUUUAUUAGCAUAAAUAAGGGUUAGUGUUUAGUAUUGUGGGAAAUAAAUAUCCAAUUCCGUCCUUGAAUUUGUAGCAGUGUCUUUAUUCUUUUUCUUUUCCUCUUAUUCUAAAACCUAUAACUUUAAUGUGCUGAUUAAUUAAUUUGUUGUAAAGUUCUCCUUGCUGAGAAUGGCAGACUUAAAAACGUAGAUACCAUCGCAAAGAGGUUUGCAGAGUUGGCAAUGGCAUAUAAGGGAGAAGUGAAAGCAACCGUGACUACUGUCAUUGUAAGUGGUGCUUCUUUGAAAGCUAGUUUAUUUCUAAAAGUAGUGCAUGUUAUUGAAUAUUUGUACUCUUAAUUGCAGAAGUUACAUCCAUAAUUUUUGCAAAAAGAUUAUUGCAUUUGAUAAUGUGAUGGGAAUUAACUUUUGAGAUUCAUUUUAGCAUUGUUAUCUCAUCAAACAAGAAAGUGAAUAAUUUCUAUAUUACCUAACUUUCUAUACAUAUAUUUUUAACUAGGCUCUUCCCCCCGAGGAGGAGAAUGCAUUGAAGCAGACUGUUCAGGAAAUGCUAGGUUCCGGAGCAAAGGUUAAGCUUGAACAGAAGGUAUUAACGUGACAUCUUUUCUUCCAUGUUUUCCCUUACAUGCAUGCAUACAUGCCUAAUAUCGUCAUAGAUGCAAGAUUUUUUUAUACUCAAAUCUGAUCAAAGAUUAGCUCCUCUUAUUUCACUCUCAUCUUGUAUAUUGAUAUAUUCAUGCUCCUCACUUGGGUUUUGAAUUUUUAGAUUGAUCCAAGCAUACUUGGUGGUCUAGUGCUGGAGUUCAGCCAAAAAGUCUUUGACAUGUCUAUAAAGACUAGGGCACAACAGAUGGAAAGGAUCCUCCGGGAACCGGUAAACUAUUCCAUUUAGAAGACAACAAUUUUCUCCUGACAACAGUUCGCAUCCUCAUCGUUUGAUGAAAGAAAUGUUGCAUUAUUGAUUAAUAUAAAUUGUUUGAAUAUGGAUUUGUUUGGGAUGGAAUAUACCAUCAUUUUGCAAAUAAGAAGCCACAUUUUCUAAGUUUUUGUUAUACUUAGUUGUUGUUUAAUGUGUCCAAAUAUAUUUUUAUUUGACCUGUUGAGGUUUUAAAUGACUUCUGUUUUCAUUUAAAUCGCGCAAAUAUUUGAUAUGAUUCCUUGGAUUGCGUGAUGCUUUGUUGUAAGAAUAGUUCAUGAUGGGUGCCUUAUGAAACCAAAUAGCUAUGACUUAAAUGUCUUUUGGGAAGAAAAUGAUUUGAUAAAACCUUUGAGAAUGAAAUAUCUUCAUUUCUCAUUCUAUCUAUUUUCACUAUUUCUUAAGUUCAAGAAGUUUUGGGAUUAUAAAUGAGUUAUAUUAUUUGAGCUCUAAAUAUUGUCUAUAGAUUUAAAAUUCACCCUUCAAAUGAUCCCCUCCCACGUACCUAGACUACAUAGUUGAAGUUCAUAUAAUUAUAUGCACUCUAAAAGAUAUAAGUGUUGUUUAUUUAUUUUUAUAUACUGUUUUAAACAUUUGUACAAGAAAUAACAAACGUAAAAUUGAGAAGUUAACUAUCGUAGUUUCACUAAUUUUUUUGACUAUUUUUUACCAAACGUAAAAAUCCUAUCGUCUAACCAAAUAGGUGCUAUUUCCGUGGGGAUUGUUUAUUGCACCGGUAGUGGUGUUCACACAUCUGUGUUAAAAAUUCAAAAUGCCUCUCAAAUCUGGAAAUGGAUGCACAAAAACCUCUUAACAAAUUUGAAACUUUAUUUUCGAACACUGUUUUGUUUGAGUGUUUGAGAAACGAGAAAUAGACGUUGAAACAACCACAGAAAAUAUAACAUAAAUUAAAUAAUUGUUAAUGUAGGUCUAAUAUUACAUUUUAUCAUUAAAUGAUGGUUGAUGACGCUUAAUUAUCUUUGGUUGAUCUCAAAAUAUUUGCAUCCACCUCGGCCAAACCUUUUGUUUUGUAACAGGGAAAUAUAUUCCAUAUAAAAGUUAAAGUUUAAUUUGUCUUCUGCUCAAAUUUGUUGAACUUUGUUGUCAAAUGAAUGAUAAUAAAGUCUUACAACUCUUUGAUUAUCUAAAUAGCGCAAUAAAUUCUCUAGUGUGGAUUUUAGAUAGACAAAACGAGUGAUCUUUGGGAACUUAAAUUCAAGAGGGUCUCUCGCCGUUGAAGUAGACAAAAAGGAGAUAUGAAUGACAUUUAGACAUCCUGCGUGUGAUUUUUCUAACAACAUGAGGAUGUCCAUAUUUAUACAAGUUUUAAAUCAAUAUGGAUCUUAGAAAUUCAAUCAUAUCUUAGAAGAUAUUUUAGAGAUGUAUUUUCGGAUUUACCCUUUACGUUUAGUAAUUCAGGGUUUCUACAGAAAUGCAGUUUCAAAUUAACUUCUAUUAGCAUUUUCUUUAUAGAAAAUGUGGUGCGUCUGAAAGUAUAUUUUCAAAUUCAUCCCUAUCUGUUCAUACAUAACUUGUUAUGGAAUAUGGAAACAUAACGGAAACAUAUCAUGAUGAAACAAAAAAGUUUAGAAAAAGUUAGAAAAAUGGAAUAUUCAUUAAAAUGUAUCAAAAUGCUCGCAUUUGACAUCGUCAAUAUUAAUCCAACAUAACAUACAGAAACGAGACACUAUAUAAAUACGUUUUUAGUAAAAAAUUAAAAUGCACCAAAACAUGUGUCACCACCUAAAUCUAUAUCUAUGGGUGGUUCUACAUUUGACUUUUGCUUAGUUGAUUCUCUUUCAAUCUCAUUCAACUUGGUGAAUUCUUCCAUCUUAUGUAAAAGUUAUCCGGCGAAGUUUCAACUUUCUCUGUGGAAUGAGCUGUCCACUCCGAUGAUGUUUGAGGUAUAUGGGAUCGCGAUUUCAAAUAAACUUGAACAAAAUAAAGUUACUUUGAAAGCCAAUCAAUACAAAUAAUGUGUUCGGUUGGAUUUUGAGGUGAGUCAUUCUGAAGUGGAAAAAAUGUUUUCGAGAAGCCAUAUCUUGCCAACUUAAUACACAUCUUAUUAUAUGCACUUGCUAUAAGAUUAUCCAUUUCAGGGAACCACUGUUGGUGUAAUUCCUAAAGGCCAAUACUUUUGGUACUUGUAUCGAAUUAUUUAUUAAUAAUAAAAGGUUUUUCUUUAUUAUGUUUGUUUAAUAAAGUCCCUAGAAUAACUAGUUCGUUUAAUGUCUCAAGUGUGACUUAAUCAUGAGAUCCCAUUAAACAUAAGGACACUAUUCUUAAAGUAUCCGUAGUCGAGCUUUGUUGUGAAGUGGGAUAACAUUAAAGCAUUAAGACUAUUAUGAAAAUAGACUGAUGAACACACCUCAUGGAUCAUGGAUAAGGAGUUAUCAAGUCUUAAACAUAUGUAUGAAUAUUAGGAGUAAUAGUUAUAUUUGGUUGACCCGCUAUGAGAAUACUACAUAGAAUAUUAUGCAAAGUGUCAUAAGUUAUUCUCAUGGUGAUAAUGGUAUAUACCACCCUUCGAGCUGAAACCACUAUGGACCCUAGAUGCAGAGUCGAGUGCUUUAUUGCUGAUCAAACAUUGUCCGUAACUGGAUGACCAUAAAGACAGUUGAUGGGUACUCCAUGAAGCAUGCUGAGGGACAUGAGUGAUCUAGAUGGAAUUUGCCCAUCCUGCGUAACAGGAUAAAUGUCUAAGGGCCCAAUAUUGAACUAGACAAGGAUGACACAGUCUAUGCCUUGUGUUCAAUAUAAACAUAAGGGCAAAAGGAUAAUUAUACACACAAGUAUUAUCACAAAAAGGGAUUUGUCAGAUCACAUGACAUUUUUGUGUAUUGGGUAGCAGUGAUGUGUUGCUAGAUACCGCUCACUGUUUAUUAUGUUAAAUACGUGAUUUAAUAUAAUUACUAAUAUCGCGAAAACCUACAGGGUCACACACAAAAGGACGAAUUGAUGAGAGACAAAGUAAAUAAGGAAUACCGUAAGGUACGAUGCACUUAAGUGAAUUGUAGAACAUCGUAAGGUACGAUGCACUUAAGUAGAAUCCAAAAUAUGGUAAGGUACCACGCGCUUAAGUGAUUUUUGGUAUACCAUAAGAUAUGAGCCACAUACACUUAAGUGGGGUUUUUAGCUUGCAGCCUACACAAGUGGUUCUAAAAAUAGAACCCUUGUGCAGAAGCAUUUCACUUGAUGAAAUUUCGUCUCUCUCUCUCUCUCACACUCUCUCUCUCUCUCUCUCUCUCUCACACACACACACACACACACACACACACACACACACACACACACACACACACACACACACACAAAGCCUUCAUUCGUAACAGCUAGCACUGAGACUGAAGGAAUCCGCUUGUGUGGACUGAGUAGAGGCGUUGUCACCAUUUAACCCUCGUGAUCACUCCUUUUAUCUGCAUCAAAGGUUUCAAUCACCACAAGAGGUAGCGGGUUCUAUCAUUGAUCAUGCCCAUUCGUAAGGAUCACUAAAGGAAAUUUUUUAAUUUCCGAUGCGUUUUGGAUCGCUAUUUUCCUUCAAUGGUAUCAAAGCCACUUAUGAAACCAUGCAUCUGAUAGCUAUUUAUUUUCUGUAUUUUAUAUAUUAAUACGAUUAAAAGACAAAAUGAAUUAAAUAAUAAACGAGUAAUCAAAUUUGGCAUCAUGUGUGUACGAUUUGGAUGAUUGAUGUUGACUAUGCUUAGAAAUCCGACAUUAGUAUGGUGAAGGAGCGAUACAUUGAUCUGCAUAGGUUACUGUUGAAAAGUAUAUCUUCGGCAAAUAUUUUUAUAUCGUAUCCACAGAGAUUGGUUGUUAUUACCGCCGUUCUAUAAUCCAAAUUGUUAUAAGUUUGAAUAGUAACAAAGUUGUUUUGUUUGGAAAAUUAUCUUGUGAGUAAAUAUCACUAAAAACAGUAAAAUGAUUUUAAUAAAAUGUAAAAGAUUGGCAAGAUUGGAGUUCACUAUUCUAAAUGCUUAUGAUUCCUUAUGAUAACUAUAUAGAUUUAAGAUUAUUGAUGAUGUUCAAGUAUCCUCUCAAAGUCAUUUAUGUCUAAAUGAUAUUGUGAUAAUAUAUUGAUCCUUAGAACGAUCUCUCCACCUAACUAAUCAAAUAUAGCAAUCUUUAAUGUUUGGAGUAAUGAAUAAAUCUAUCUCUACAACUUAUUCACUACUUGAAAAUCUGUUUUAUGUCAAGACUCAAAUAAUCUCUUUCAACAACUACUCAAAUCUGGUUUUCAACUUAGGACAAAAACAAUAUUCAAUACAUCAAAAAUCUUUAUCAUAUAUAAAAAUCAAAUGGAAUACAUAAACAAAUGAGAAUAGCUAUUACCUCCAAUCUUGACAAAAGGGAGUUUAGCUCCUCAUCAUCAUUGUUACAAAGCAGAAUGUUAAUGGAAGAAAAACUCUAUUUUUCUCUCUUGCAAAAUAUCUCAAUGUAUCAAUGUGUGAAUGUUAAUGAAUAAUGGAAUACAUCUCAAUCUCUAUUCUGAAUUUCUAAAAAGGGUUGACAUUUCCUCAUUUGAUCAUUUCCCAUCUAAGGCAGAAAAGCUCUCCCAAGGCAGACACCAAAAUGGCAAAACUAGUUGGCCUUGACAACAACACUUUUGACCAAAAUCAGCUUGCUGGAUUCGCAGCCUUCGCGGCGCGAACUGAAGCUACCUCAGCUUCCUUGCUUUGCAAGCUUCAUCAUAAGAGCCUUCCAACCUAAGCUUCCAGAAUUGGGCCUCCAAAUUGUAUUCAACACCUCUUCCAAAUUAUGAUGUUGCAUUCCAAAAGUUCUCAGUUCGAAAAUUCUACAAAACUAACAAAUAUGUGAAAUAACUAUUCAAAACAAAAUAAAUUAAACCUAGUUGCAUUUAUACAAAAUAGUGAGAAUAAAAGUGUGUAAUUACAUCAAAACUUGGUAAAAGGGACUACAAAAUAAAUUAAACCUAGUUGCAUUUAUACAAAAUAGUGAGAAUAAAAGUGUGUAAUUACAUCAAAACUUGGUAAAAGGGACCAAUAAAAUGAUAUAAAAAGUAGUACUAAUUGGUCCCUAACAGUUACACAAAUGAGAUCCAUCAAUUUAUAUAUAUGAUAUAAGUAAUUCUGAUGCAAAAUAUGGUAUAUAUGAUAUACUGUUUCUAUUUUAUUCAUUCAAACACUUAAUGAUUGUUAUUCCUUUGAACGAUCAGUGGUCAUUUGCUUCGGAAUCCGACAUUAGUAUGGUGAAGCAAUGUCGUGUUGAUCAAUCAUACUGAAUUAUCAAUCAAGGUGUAUUUGACGGUAUGAAAUUGCUGCAUUAGGGUUCAUGAUGGUACAAGGGUUGUGCUGUCAAAGAGUUAUGCGAUUAGGGUUGUGACUGCACAAGAGUUGUGCUUUAAAGUAUCAAGUGUUGAUGCGAAAAACGAUGUUGGUUUCAAAUAAAUUGUUCAUUAAAAUUUUGCGAACUCUGUUUAGUGUGAUCAACCGCCGAAAUUUAAUUUGGUUUAUUUAAUUAACAAAAUUUAAAUUAAUAAUAAUAAUGUGUUUAUUAUUAUUGUCUUGUGGUGAUCAGUUAUGACCUUAGUUUUCCUUUAUUUUGUUUUUGGGAUUUUAAAAUACGGCCAGCGUGUCAUGCCUCUCUUUAAAUCUCUUAAUGUAACUUCUUUUCUCAUCUCACUCCCUCGUAUGUAAAACGAGUUUCUUUUAUGUAAUGUAAUGUUAUGAAGAAAGAGAAGAAUACAAUAUCAAAGGAGGACAACCUUGAAGAUCUUGCUUGGAGAAUCUAGAUUGUUAUUAGGUUAGCUUAGGUUCUCUCAUGGCUUGGGAGAACAAUUGUGCUAGGGCCAUAACUGUUUCAUUAGUGUAUGUAGUUGAUGCAUGUGAGAGACGAUUAUAUGAUAAAUAAUCCGCUGAGAUCAAAUAACUUUAAUUCCCUCAAAUUAAAUAUUAAGUUUAUGCUUUCAAGUUUUAGCACUCAUCAAGACUAGUAUCGAAUAAUGUAGGUUUCGCCUACGUGAGGUGCAUGUUCUAUAUUAGUAAGGUGCGAUGGGAUGAUUGUAAUAUCCAAUUGCCAAUAAUGGUUCAACUUGUAAGUUUAAGAGUGCUUAGAGGGGGGGGGGGGGGGGGGUGAAUGAGGCAUUUAGAGUAUUUUCCGGAUUUUUGACGGUUUAUGACUUUUACUUUGUGAGUUGCUUAUGUGAUGAAAAGCGGUAAAGUGCGAAAAGUAAAGAACACAACGAUGUAUAUUGGUUCCCCUCACAGAUUGAGAGUACUCCACUCCCCUUUCAACACGAAAGAGAAUUUCACAAAAAUGUUAGAUUCCUAGACAAGACACCUUAAGGUCUUUCUAUCUAAUUCUAACACACCAAGAACAUACCUCUUGGAUUUACAAUGUUUAAAGUCCAAUCGAGACUCAAUUUCUCACAAAUGGACCUCUUGUAUUCACACACUGGAUAACAAGGAUAAACCCUACAAACUUAUUCUUAACAAUCCUAAAAAUAAGUUGUAAUCAAAGAAUAUAAUUCUGAAUGUUUAUAGAAGAUGAAAGUAGUUGGAAUUUGAAGUAUAUCAAUUAAUCAAUUGAUCUUCUCCUUUGUAACACUCAAAUCUCACAAUAAUUAUACAAGUCUUCUUUGUAUGUAAUGAAACUAUGAUGCUGAAAAUGAAAGUUUAUGCAAGGUUUCACUUUUAAGAAAUUUUGGAUGAACACUUAGAAAGUUUGAGAGAAUGUGUGUAAAUGAUUUGAAAUUUUGCAAUAAAUGAAAGUUUAUGCAAGGUUUCACUUUUAAGAAAUUUUGGAUGAACACUUAGAAAGUUUGAGAGAAUGUGUGUAAAUGAUUUGAAAUUUUGCAAGGAGGUGAUUUUGAAAUCUGAAAAAUGAUGUGUAUAUAAUGUCUAAACACCUCCUCAAAUGAAUGCAAUAAUCCAAAGGUUUCCAUGGUUCAUGAUGAAGAAAAAAUAAAAGUUUCCAUGAAGAGAUGCAUAUAUUUUUAAUUCUGGAUCAGUGGUAAUCGGUUACCUUAAAUUGGAUAAUCGGUUACUUGCAUUCAACGUUUAAAAAUAUUUGAAAUUUCCUCAGAGUAAUCGGUUACCUUAAAUUGGAUAACCGGUUACAUGGCUCCAACGUUCAAAAAAUAUUUGAAAAUAACGCAGAGUAAUCGGUUACUCUAAAGUGGGUAAUCGGUUACUCUGUCACAACUUUGAAAAAUAUUUAACAGAGUGAAGUGUGGUGAUUUGUUUGAUGCAUAAAAAUAUUUUCAAUGAUUAUGACAUGAAUGCAACAUGUUAUGAAUACUUGUAUAACUAUCUAGAGUUCAAGUGUUACCUUAUCCAUUGAAAGACGAUUCUUCAUGCGAUUCAUCAAGACUUGAUCAUAGGUUGGAAACUUCAUUCACGAGCUUGAAUCCUGAUCAAUCUUUUUGUUAAUCAGUCUUUAGCUUUGUAGCGAAGUUUGUCGUCAUCAAAACAUCUGAGAAGUCAUGUCUUCACAAUCUCCCCCUUUUUGGGGAUGAUAACCCAAAAUCAUGAAAGUAUUAUCCAGUGGUGUUUCUCUAUCAAAAACUCCCCCUUAAACGAUGCUCCCCCUUAAUUUAUAAAUUAAGGAGUCUUUUGAAAUCUGCAUAUUUGUUAGAGAGACACAACCAACAAGGAAAUAACAUAGUAAUCAUUUCUUUUCUUCUCCCCCUUUGUCAUUAACAAAAAGGGUGAAAAGGAGAGAUAAAUAACAAGCAUGGAAACAAAAUAGACUAAGCACCAUAUACCACACAAGAAAAUUCAAACAUAACAUUGUCGCGACGUGAAAAACAACCGGCGGAAAAUACAGAGCCGCCACCGACGCUAUUCAUCCUAUGACGGAAAGGGAGCGCAGGACUAACCUAAGAAAGGGAAAGGAAUGGUCUUACGACCAGAGAUUACAAGGUACGGGAGUCGGUUACGCAAGGUGGAAAGGGAGCGCAGGACUAACCUAAGAAAGGGAAAGGAAUGGUCUUACGACCAGAGAUUACAAGGUACGGGAGUCGGUUACGCAAGGGGAAGGUGUUAACACCCCUCACGUCCGCCGUACUCGACGGGAUCCACGCUCAAAAGAUAGCUCAAAGAAUAGGAAAGGGUUGCUGCUAAUAAACUGCUCAAAAAAAACUGCACAAACUGGAAUAAUAAACAGGCGGGGGAGAGAAAGAACGGAGGAAGUGGACUCGACAGGAUGUCGCAUCCUGGGCCUACGUAGUUUGUCAGAAACAAACAUCAGAGUCAACGUAGUUCGGGGAAGGGAGGCAUGCUCGCUAAGACAUCGCGUCUUAUGCCUACGUAUCUUCUCUAACUAGAGGAGAAUCAGAGCACUCGUAGCUCGGCUAGUGCACGCCAAAACAAGACACCAAAAGGAGACGCUGAGACGUCGAAAGAAACACCCAAAAGGAAACAGAAUGCCAAUACAUGGACUUACACCCGACUCCUGACAAUAACCAAACAAAAGGAAACAGACUGCAAUUACAUGGACUUACACCUGAUUCCUAACAAUAACCAUCACAAAUGAACCCCGAAUAUGAACCCCAACUGAAUAACAAACACCACAAAUGAUCCCCAAUAUGAACCCCAAGUAACAACAACCGUCACAGAUGAACCCCGAGACGAACCCCAAUAUGAAUGACAACCGUCAUAAAUGAACCCCGAGGUGAACCCUAAUAUGAACCCCAACUUGAAUGACAAUCACAAAUGAUCCCCAAUAUGAACCCCAAGUAACAACAAAAGAAGUUCCCCAAAGUAUGAACAUACCACCACACACACGCUGAACAAACGGGUACUCACACCAAAACAAAGAAAAGAGUGAACCACAAAAAAAAAAGAGGGUGACGGCACUCCAGACCUACAUGAAGGUAAGAAGCUAGCUACUGUGAGUNNNNNNNNNNNNNNNNNNNNNNNNNNNNNNNNNNNNNNNNNNNNNNNNNNNNNNNNNNNNNNNNNNNNNNNNNNNNNNNNNNNNNNNNNNNNNNNNNNNNNNNNNNNNNNNNNNNNNNNNNNNNNNNNNNNNNNNNNNNNNNNNNNNNNNNNNNNNNNNNNNNNNNNNNNNNNNNNNNNNNNNNNNNNNNNNNNNNNNNNNNNNNNNNNNNNNNNNNNNNNNNNNNNNNNNNNNNNNNNNNNNNNNNNNNNNNNNNNNNNNNNNNNNNNNNNNNNNNNNNNNNNNNNNNNNNNNNNNNNNNNNNNNNNNNNNNNNNNNNNNNNNNNNNNNNNNNNNNNNNNNNNNNNNNNNNNNNNNNNNNNNNNNNNNNNNNNNNNNNNNNNNNNNNNNNNNNNNNNNNNNNNNNNNNNNNNNNNNNNNNNNNNNNNNNNNNNNNNNNNNNNNNNNNNNNNNNNNNNNNNNNNNNNNNNNNNNNNNNNNNNNNNNNNNNNNNNNNNNNNNNNNNNNNNNNNNNNNNNNNNNNNNNNNNNNNNNNNNNNNNNNNNNNNNNNNNNNNNNNNNNNNNNNNNNNNNNNNNNNNNNNNNNNNNNNNNNNNNNNNNNNNNNNNNNNNNNNNNNNNNNNNNNNNNNNNNNNNNNNNNNNNNNNNNNNNNNNNNNNNNNNNNNNNNNNNNNNNNNNNNNNNNNNNNNNNNNNNNNNNNNNNNNNNNNNNNNNNNNNNNNNNNNNNNNNNNNNNNNNNNNNNNNNNNNNNNNNNNNNNNNNNNNNNNNNNNNNNNNNNNNNNNNNNNNNNNNNNNNNNNNNNNNNNNNNNNNNNNNNNNNNNNNNNNNNNNNNNNNNNNNNNNNNNNNNNNNNNNNNNNNNNNNNNNNNNNNNNNNNNNNNNNNNNNNCAAAAUGGAUACCCGAAGAGAUAUAUCUCACAACCUCCUGGCAUACGCUAUCUCCUAUCUAGCCUAUGAGACAUAGGGCGACAUAGUUCCCUUAAGCAGGCGCGUAAAAACACCUCUCCUAACCAGAGCACCAGGGAGACAACAAACUAAUAGCGGAGACUAAGACUCGAGAGUCCUAAUAGUCUGUCAGUAGCCAAUCACAAUAUUCCCCUAAGUUGCAGGUUCUCUAACUGCAUUCAGCUUCCUCAGAAAUCAAUCAUUAGCAAACUCCUACAAGAAAUGUGAAGAUGAGAAGAGGUAAAGCCAGCAUAAACACCACCAGCACAAAGUGAACAAGCAUCACACAACUAUAUAUUCCAUACAAGAGGCUCAAACAAUGGCGUGGGCUUUAGCUCAAAGAGUGAUCUUCUCUCUGAGUGGUGUGUCAACCACAAUCCAAUGCUCAAGCAAGAGCAAAAGCAAGCAAGCAACUAAGGUACCUGUACAAAGACUAAACAGUUAGUACUUCAGUUAUACAACCAGAAAACAAGCAAUGAAACUCUCCAACAGUUACACAAUUCAAUGCAUAAUGCCCAAACACUCAAAUGAACUCAUGAGCUCACCACAUCAAUUACAAACCUACAAAACAAACAUAAGUCAGAACUCAAUUCAUUUUGUAUCUCACAAGGUGAGAACAAACCCAAUCAUCAAUGAUGAGUAUCCAAACUUGAAACACAAAACAAAGUUAGUUCACGUACAAGGACAAAAGUCAAAACCUAACCAAAUGACCAAACCGGAACCCAUCCUUCUACACAUCAUACAUUAAAACACUCCUCUAAAUGUCCUCAAAAGGACCAACAUCAAAUCCAUAGCCAAGUGUCUCAAAUGGCCUAUGUAAUACAAUGACCAAAAAUAUGCACAAAAUGAACUUCCAACUUAGAAAAUUCAUAUCAAAUCAGAAAUGCAUGCAAUGACUUUGAGAUUUUUUGUAUGAGUUCCUCAUAUCAUGAAUAAUCAUCAUGCAAAAUAUCAAAUCCAGAAUGAUACAAAUGCUAUGUGAAUAAAAAUUCACCAAUUCAAUGUUAAAAAUGUGACACAAAUUGUCACAUUAUUCUCUAUGUGUCAAAAACAAUGAUAACAUGUGAGAAAAAUUCCAAACCAGUGACCAAAAAUUCAUAUCAUGUGUGAAUGUCAUGUAUGCAAAAAAUUGGAUCAAAUGGCUCAACAUAGAGAAUUUCACAACACAUUGAAUGCAAUAGGUCAAUUUGGCACAACAUCAAUUCAAAAAUUCACAAAUAAAAAUCCAGCCAGCAAAAAUUCAUGAAAUUAACAUCAUAAAAAUGUAGACAUCAAUACAAAACUGUGAAAAAGAAUUGGGACUCAUUUGGACUAUUUUUGUAUUUUUUAUGCAUUUUAUAAAACAAGCAAAAUAAUUGGAUUAACAAAUGAAAAUGGAGGGAAACAAAUAAUUUGAAAUAAAUCCAGAAAAAACACCAGCCAUCAGAUAUGGCGCGCUUCAAGAUCAAAGGUCCAGGUUUAAAAUGUGAAACGCACCGUUUCACUUAUUGACAUCAUCAGCCCAGUCAUCGGUCAAGCAUACGCGUGGCUCAGUCAAUUGCAUCGCAUCCAAUCAAUUUGCCACGCAACACACACAUGGCCUACACGUCAACCAAACCCUAAGCAACUUACAGACGCCGGAGCUACAGCUCCGGUCGUCUUCUCCGACACACUCACGGUGGCUCCCACGGCAGCGCCACCACACAAAUUUCCAAAAAUUCUCAAGGCAUAUACCAUUUGAACCGUCUCUCAACGUAGAUUCCAAAUAUCCUAUUGGAUCAUCCUAAUUCCUCAUAGAUUAUGCAAAUCGAAGAGAGAAAGAUUCUAGAUCCAAAAUUCCAGUCAAUAUAUCAUCCUCAAUACUCACUCGUUUUCAAAUCUAAACACAUAUCCAUGACCUACACUACACGAUCUACCAAUCUAUAACUUAAAAUCAGCAAAAGGAGGAAGUGAAUUUCAACUCACCUGAAAUGGAGAUCUCUGAAUUCGCGUCCUUCUCAGGCUCAUCUUGCCUCCAAUCUACUCCUUGAACAAUUUCUCCUUGAAGCUUUGUGCCAAAAAUAUUGGGACUGAACCACAUGUGAAUUUCCUCAAUUUCUCACAAUACAUUACAUGGAGGAUUGCACAUUGAAAUGCGUCGAAGAUCUUGAUGAUUGCACCAAACAAUGAAGGUUUCUUGAUCAGGAAGGAUGAGGAUACGAUAUGCAAGGAAUUAUUUGAGGUUUAUGUGUGGAAAAAAGGAAUUUAGCAGAGAGAGAAUCGUUGAGGAGAGUUCUUGAUUUGAUCUCAAAAGCUUGUAGUUGGGCAGUUAUGGCUAGGGUUUUGGUAUUUAUACUUCAUGCUAAUGGAUGCUGCAAAACCAAAUUAGACCUUCACUAAACAUGAUUAGUGAAUUAUUAAACCAAUUGCAAAAAAAUGAAUAAUGACACUUCAUGGCCAUAAUGCACGUAUAGUUUCCCAUGCAAGGCUUUCAAUUCACUUAUGAACAACCAAGGGCCAAGAUUGAAGUGUUAUUUUGCUUGCAUCUUAAGCCAAAAAUGAAUGGUGGAGAUUUUCUUCAAUAUGCACAUGUAUGAAAUAAUGAAUAUAUAAGCCUUUCCCAUGCAUGGAAAAGCACAUUUGAGAUGUCUUGAACAUGAGAAACAUUUUGCCAAAAGAAUGAACCAAUUUGGAGCAUUGUAUCAAAAGUUAUGCCAUUUUGAAUUUCCAUGCACACCUUAUGAUCAAAUGACCACAACUCCUCAACCAUUCAUCAUAUGGACAUGAAUUAGGACUUUUUAGAAAGGGGAGACAAAGAUCUACAACUUUCAUGUUCACAAAAAAUCCAUUUGAAACAUAUUUGAUAUUGAAAAGUCAAGUUGAAGGUGGACCAAAAACUUGCCAAAUUUGGAAACUUUGCAUUAUAGGUCACUUUCCAUUUUUAGUAACUUUUUCCAUGACCUUUGAAUCUUCAAGAUGGAUGCUUAGAAUGAUGAAUGAACCCCAUUUGAACAUGAUUGAGGUGUCUCAACUCAUUUCCCCACCUCAUAGCCCUCAAUUGACUGCACAUUUGACUUUUUGGUCCUUAGAUGACCUUGAAAUGCCUUGAUCCACUUGAGCCUCUACCACUUGGGGAAAUUGCUCAAAAAUGAAACCCUAGCUCAUGUAAGCCCCUUAUGAUAAACAUGUGAUCUUCAUCCCAAGAAAAUACCUCAUCUCUUUGAGAAACCCUAGUUGGAAGAAUGACAUUGGUUAAGGUUGACCAGAGGUCACAACCCUAAUCCAGAGGAACCUGAGGAAGAACUCUGAAACCCUUGAUGAUGAUAGAACCAUGAUGAUGGUAAUAUAUCCUUGCAAACUAAAUUAUGCUCAAGACCUUUGAAGAAUCAAGAAACCCUAAUUGAAUCCCAUACCCUCAGGUGGUUGAUGAUCAAUUCAUAGAGACCCUCAGGCUUGAAUCAUGUAACUCCUCCAUCUUUUGAAAAGAUUUUGAAGGAUGACUUUCUCCUUUCACAUGAGAUGAAAAAUGCAAUGCCUAAUGCCCUAAAACAUGAAAUGAAAUGUGCCAAACUAGUCUUAAGAAGAGGAGGGAAAAUUUUGAGGUGUUACAAACAUAAAUCAACAUUUGUAACAUAGUCUGAAAAUAAAACUAGAAUUGUACUAAUAUUAAAAAACAUAAGCUAGUGAAAAACAAAAAACAACAUGACCAAGCUUAAUCACUUUCAGACAUGUUGUCUCCUUCAUCCUCUUCAUCUUCAUAAACACUUUCCUCAGCACCUUCUUCACUAGGGGCAGGUUGACGGUUUAAGGAAAGGAAGAGUUUUCUAAGAGACUUGAUGCCACGUUGACUGACCCGAUGAUUGUGGUGCAUUGUUGUCUCAAUUGAACACAUCUUAUUAUAUAACAUCGCAUUGGAAAUUUCACCUUCUGGAAGUGUUGGAGGAGCGGAAGAGGCGACCGAAUCUUUAUAUCGAAACACUCCAUUUGGUCCGAUACCAAUCUCGGUAUUCUUCGUUGCAGUAACUUCAUUGAUUUCACAGUUUCUGACAGUCAUUGGGGUCUUUGGUUCCCUUUGAAGCGGAACACCAGAAAAUUUAAGAAUUCCUGAGACAAUUCGACCAUAGGAAAGUCCACCACUUAGAGAAAGUUGAUGCAUCAUGUGUUGGUAGAUAACAUAUGCCCAAUUAAUCUUCAUAUUCAGUUUUAGGGCUCUAAUCAGCUGCAAUUCAAGUUCACUGACUUGAGCAUGGUUAGAGUGUUUAGGAACCAACACAUAGGCAAGGACGUAGUGGAGCAUCCUAUCACUCACAGACAGCAUGUUAGCAUACUUCACAACCCUUGAAGAUUCUGUUUGUCGGCUCAUGAGGUUGGCUUGAGUUCCUCUAGAAAUGGAAACAAAGUACUCCAGACUGUUAUAGUUACUCCAAGCAUCAUUGUCAGGUCCGGUACCUUGACGGAAUGCUUCUCCUUCCGAAGGGAUUUCAAGACAUUGUCCCAGUUGAGUAAGAUCCAUAGAGAUUUCAACAUUUUUGACCUUUGCAAUAAAAACCAAAUCUCCAAAUUCAUCUGUUCCAAACUUAAUAGAGGUAUAGAACUCUCUUAUCAUGUCGGGGUAAUAAUCUCCAAUAUCUGAAACUAGUUUAUCUACCCCAGAGUUUCUCAGCAAGGUUUCAAAAUUAAAGCUGUGAGACGGAAAAGCUUGAAAGUUAACAUACUUUACCGAUAUUAGAGUCCGAGUCCGGACAACAUAGCUUAAUCGUCUGGAUUUUACACGGCCAACUUGUUGCUCAUGUUGAGAAGUCUCCUCACCCAAUUUCUUCUUUCCCUUAUCUUGUCUAGGAGGAGCCAUGGAAUUUGUGAAAGUUAGGGUUUUGGAAGUUUUUUCUGGAUUUUAGUUGGAGAGAGAAUAUGGUGGGUUGAUGGAGAGUGAUAGUGAGAAUGAUAAUGAGAGUGGGGUUUUGAUAGCUUUGAAUGGAAUUAAUGGUGAUAAUGGAGAUGGUUAGAGUUUUGGAAAGGAAGAUGAAGGGUUUUGGAAAGGAAGAUGGAGGGUUUUGGAAGAGUGAGCUGAAUGUGAAGUUUGGAGAGAGAGUACCAAUGUUUGAAGUGAUUAAUUUUAGAAUGAAAAGAAAUGAGCAUUUAACAAAUAUAAUGCAAUAAGUCACGUACAUUUUAAAAAAAAAUUCUGGAAUGAACAUCUGUAAUCGAUUACUUAAAAGAGAGUAAUCGGUUACACAGAACAAAAACGCGUGAGAAAACAAAAAAUGCACAAAGUAAUCGAUUAUGCAAAAGGAAGUAACCGGUUACACAGAGUGAAAUUUUGUGAAUUAGGCAAAAAUGUACAGGGUAACCGAUUAUCCAAAAGGAAGUAACCGGUUACACAGAAGCAAAAAGCUCAAAUACAAAUUUUCAAAGGGAAAUUUCAAAAAAAUUAAGAAGGAUUAAGAACUUGUGUACCUUGGCCUCAUGUAUAGUGAAUAAUUGUGAGAUAGUUAUAUGUCACCUUCAUCCAGAAUGCCAAGUUCUCUUCGAAUCUUAUAGAACGGUUCUUUUGCAAGUGGUUUUGCGAAAAUAUCCGCCUUUUGAUUGUGAGUAUCGACAAAGGUGACUUCGACAUCGCCUUUAAGCACAUGAUCACGAAGGAAAUGGUGUCGAAUGCCUAUGUGUUUGGUCCUGAGUGCAUGACCGGAUUCUUUGUGAUAUUAAUCGCACUUGUGUUGUCGCAUCGGAGUGGUAUGCAUCCAAGAUCGAUUCCAUAGUCACUUAAUUGUUGCUUUAGCCAAAGAUUAUGUGCACAUCAACUGCCCGCUGCUAUGUAUUCUGCUUCAGCCGUACUAAGAGCAACACACGCUUGUUUCUUACAGGACCAUGAGACUAGAGCAUUACCAAGGAUGUGACACGUUCCACUAGUGCUUUUUCUAUCUGUUUUACAACCUGCAUCAUACGCGUCAGAAUAACCAACUAACUUACAAACACUACCUUUAGGAUACCAUAAUCCAACGUUGGUUAUUCCCUUGAGGUACUUCAUGAUUCUUUUGACCGCCGUGAGAUGUGACUCCUUUGGAUUUGCUUGGAAGCGAGCACAUAAACACACGCUAAACAUUAUGUCAGGACGACUUGCCGUCAAAUAUAAUAAAGAUUUUUGACCGCCGUGAGAUGUGACUCCUUUGGAUUUGCUUGGAAGCGAGCACAUAAACACACGCUAAACAUUAUGUCAGGACGACUUGCCGUCAAAUAUAAUAAAGAACCAAUCAUACCUCGAUACUUAGUGAUAUUGUAGCACCUCAAAUUUGCCCUCACCCAUUCAUGCAUUCAUUUCAUUUUUUAGGUCAUAUAUCAUUUCAUAUUGCAUUGCAUCUUGGCAGUCAGAACUGGCAUCAAGAGAAUUCAUCAGUGCAAAAGAGUAAGUUUUUCCUUGAGAUGAGGGCCACAUGACUAUUCCAAAGAGCCUAUAUGAGCUAGGGUUCAUUUUGAAGCAAUUGUACCAAGUGGUAGAGGCCCAAAUUCAUCAGUGCAUUUCCAAGUCAUCUGAGGACCAUAAAAGUCAACUGUGCAGUCAAUUGAGGGCUUUGAGAUGGGGAAGUGAGUGGAAGCAUCCCAUUCAUGCUUAAAAGAGGCCUAUUCAUCAUUUCAAACAUCUAUCUUGAAGAUUUUGAAGUCAAAUCAAAAGUUUCCAAAAAUGGAAAGUGACCUGUAAUUUCAAGUUUCCAAAAAUGGCAAGUUUUUGGUUCACAUUCAACUUGACUUUCCAACAUCGAAGAAGCUUCAAAUGGAUUUUUGGUGAACAUGAAAGUUGAAUAUCUUUCUCUCCUCUUUUCAAAAAGUCCAAGAUCAUGAGCAUCUGAUGAAUGGUUGAAAAGUUAUGAGCAAAGGAUCUCAAAGUGUACAUGGAAGUUCAACAUGGCAUAACUUUUGAUCCAAAACUCCAAAUUGAGCCACUCUUUUUGCAAAAUGCUUGUCGUGACCAAAAUUUUUCAAAUCAUUCAUUGCCUUGCAUGAAAUAGGAUUACAUGAUCAAGUGUCCAUGCAUGUACAUUUUGGAGGGAAAAUGCAUAAUUCAAAUUUGGUUGAUCACAUGAGCCUAAUUCCAAUUCCAUCAUGUUCAUUGGAUGUUUUUAAGUGAAAAUGAACCUUGCAUGGCACUGUUCACGUGCACAUUGCUCAUGCCACCUCACAUUUGCAUUUUUGGUCAUACACCUCAUUUCUCAUUAAUUUUUCAUGAUGUUUUUAAGUGAAAAUGAACCUUGCAUGGCACUGUUCACGUGCACAUUGCUCAUGCCACCUCACAUUUGCAUUUUUGGUCAUACACCUCAUUUCUCAUUAAUUUUUCAUUAGCCAUUGCUUAAUCAUGAUUACAACAUCAUUAACAUGUGAUAUAAAAGCCUAAUCCUAACUGUUUUUGCAUAACAACACAUUCUAGAUCUAGAAAUUUGAUUUCCCUCCAAAAAUUCUCUCAAUUGAAACUUGAAUUUUCUUCACAUAACUCAUCAAUAUUAUUGCAUAAUCGUGUUCAGCAUGAUUCAUUGAUGAAGAAUCAAGGUUUGGUUUGCAGAAUUUGGCCAAGAAUCAAGCAGAUCAUGUACAAACUCAUGAAGAUGGAUCUUGAAAAUUAAGCUUCAUUCAAGUGGAUUCAGCUGAUAUUUCUUGCAUCAAACUUCAUAUCAAGGUUGGAGGAGAAGAUCUGGAAGAUUUGAGGCCUUGAAUCCACGAAAUCACCACACUGCUCUCCAAAAAGGUUGGAAUUCGAAUCUCAUUAUUCUUCAUUUUAUGCACAUGAUUAGUUAGAGUUUUCACUGCUGAUGAUCCUGAUGUAAAUAGAAUUUGAAAUGGAUGAGUAUUGAGUGAGAUAUGAUGAUCUGAAGUUUUGUUGUUGAAUUUGUUUCUCUUCGAUUCGCUCUCGUUAGGAAGAAUUAAUGUGAAUUGAACAUAGAUUUGGACUGUACAUUAGGAGAGCUUUCGAAUGACAUGAUUUUUGCACGUUUCUGGAAAUUUUUUAUGCAUCUUCAUCGGAAAGCCGCAGGAGAAGACGACUGGAAUUACUAUUCCGGCCGUCUGGUUCAAACGCUAGGGCUUGGCACAAUGCGCACUUGUAACGUUCUUGUCUUCUGUUCGAUUCCUUGCGCUAGCACUUUUGAAAUUCCACUUUUGAUUUUCCCUUGCCAUGAAGUGCAACGUUUUGAUGAUAAACGCGCCUUUAACCUCAUUGUCCUCGGUUCGAUCCUUGCUUGUGGCAUUUUGGAUUUUUCAAUUGCAUUUUCAUGUUAAGCGCUCCUGGAACCUCACAGACCUUGGUUCGAUUCCCAUGCUUGUACAUUUUCCAUUUUAUUUUCCAGCGCUUCUUUGACUUGCAUAACCUGGGUUCAACUCUUGCCUUUUGCAUUUUGCCAAUUGCUUUCAUUUCCAUUUUCCACAUGAUUCACAUUAUUUCCAUUUAUUUUCUUCAAAUUGAAAAAAUCACUAAAAAUAGCAUACAAAUCCAAAUUAGUUCAAUUUUUUUUCACUUUCUUGUUUGAAUGUCUAUUAUUUUGUGAUGUUAAUUUCUUGAUUUUUGCCUUGCUGGAAUUUUAAAUGUGCUUAAUUGUUUGAACAUGAUGCCAAAAUGAUAUGUUGUGCUAAUUGAUUUGUGAAAUGCUCAUGAUUUGUCCAAUUGCCUUGAAAUUUGACAUGCUCAUUCAUCACAUAUAACAUGAUUUUUUGGAUUUUGUUUGGCAUUUUUACCAUUUCAUACCACUGUUUUGGAUACAUGACUAUAUGGUGUGACAAUUUGUGUCACAUAUUGGAUGUUGCUUUUGUGCAUUUUCAUUUACAUGUCAUAUUAGCUCUUCUGGAUUUCAUUUUUGGUGUGAUGCUUUUUCAUAACAUAUUGUGUGCACAUAAAAAAUUUCAUGAUCAUUGGGUUCAUUUCUGUUUUAAUGUGGAUUUUCUAUGUUUGAUAUCCAAUUUUGAUCACAUUGUUUGCCUUUGCCUUAUCUUGAUUAUGUGAUGGCUUUGCUUAAUGAUUUGGCUUUAGUCCUUUUGAUGCCUUCUUCUUGUUUGAUUGAUAGUGCUUCAUGUGAAAUAUUGACUUCUGUUUUGGUUGUUUGCCUUGCCUUUGACCCUAGUCUUUGUACUAGUGGUUUGUACUCACCAAUUGUGUUUGUGUUUCAGGUAUUAGCACUAAUGAUUGGUGUGGCCUCAUCAUUUGAGAUGCCAUUUGCUUUGUUUACUAACCUUUGUUGUGUUGUAGGUCCAUUGAUGUGAUGAACUCACUUGAGUGAUUGCAUUUGAGACUUGCAUUGUAUAACUGUGGGAUGUUCCAUUGUGUUGUCUGUUUGGUUUUCUGAAUAUAAUAUUGACUGUUUGGCUUUUGUACAGGUACAUUAGUCGCUUUUAGCUCUUGCUUGAGCUUUGCUUUGGUUUGUGGUUGACAUACCACCUAGGUAACCACUCUUGUACUCCAUGUUGUCUGGAAGUCCUGUCGCCUUUUUGGCAGGCAUUUGGCUGAAGUCCUCCUUAAGAGGCAAUGACUGUGAUUGUUUAUAUUUGUGCUAAAGACCUCCUUGUCGAGGCAUGUUACUUGUUAAGUCCUCCUAAGUGAAGAGGCAAUUGACUUGUGAUUGUUUAUAUUUGUGCUAAAGACCUCCUUGUCGAGGCAUGUUACUUGUUAAGUCCUCCUAAGUGAAGAGGCAAUUGACAGAUAGAAGGGACUAGUAGCCAGUCCCCUGUUAGUCGUUGAGUCGUUCACUAUGCUCGCACUACGUGCUGAUGCUCUUGAACAUAACCCAAGAUCUUUGUAUAGAGUCAGUCAAGUGGAAUAGGGUCCCUCAUUCUGGAUCCCCACAUCUUCUUUGAUUCAAGCUCACCCAGGCCAGGGUUAAGAGCAUGAGGUCUUAUCCUCAUUUCCUUUCAUUAGCUUUACCCUAGCUCUCAAUGUUAGUGGUUAAGAGCUCAAAGACACCCCUACAGUUUUGGCUUGUUUGUCGAGGUUGAUAUGAUCCCUUGACUAAAGCCUAACCAUUUGUCUGAGCCUCUUGUUUGCAUAUAGAGUGUGAUACUUGAUUGCUUGUUUGCUUACUUGUGAAUCUUUCAUGUGUUUGCUUUUCAUGCAUGGCUGUUUUGUUUGAGGAGUUAGAUGUAAGACCAUCGAUUGGCUAUCUGUUUCCUAUUUUGUGGAGUUAGAUGUAAGACCAGUGAUUGGCUUUCUGUUUCCCGUUUGUUUUUGGAGUUGGAUGUAAGCCCAUUGAUUGGCAUUCCAUUUCCAGUUUUCGUUGUUCUCUCUUGAGACUUGCUUAUUGUAUCCCCAUAGGUUUGCUAGACUUCGUAUAGUCUCUCGUUUGCAUGUCAACUAAGGUAGCACGGUUCCUUCGUCUAGGACUUCCUUUCUUGCAUGAGCAUUCCUAAAACACAAACAAACUUUAUCUUCUCUUGAGGACAUGUUGACUCCUUCUACUACAGGUGAGUAAGUCUCCCAAGGUCGAGCAUCCGGUAGAUUGCAUAGUAACGUCGUUCACCUAAAAAACACAAAACAAACAGAAAUAGUUUAGCCGAACUACGACAACUCUGAUUUUACAGGUGAGUAAGUCUCCCAAGGUCGAGCAUCCGGUAGAUUGCAUAGUAACGUCGUUCACCUAAAAAACACAAAACAAACAGAAAUAGUUUAGCCGAACUACGACAACUCUGAUUCUCAUGUUCAGGUGAGAUACGUAGGCACGAGACGCGAUGUCUUGCCGAGUUUGACUGACGACUAACAAUUAAUCCUUGCUGGUUUUUGCCCUCGUUGCGAUUCUUUUCUCUUGCCCUCGUUGCGAUCGAGACCUUCCUUUUCUCUUGCCCUCGUUGCAAUCGAGACCCUUUUUUCCUUUUCGUGUGUCUUUGGAGUCAGAUGUAAGUCCAUCUAUUGGCAUUCCGUUUCCUGUUUGUGGUUUGUGUGUCUGGAGUCAGAUGUAAGUCCAUUCGUUGGCAUUCCGUUUCCUGUUGUGUGUUUCUUUUAACGUCUCAGCGUCUCUUUUCAGUGUUUUGCUUCGGCGUGCGUUAGCCGAGCUACGAGUGCUAUGAUUCUUACUCUGGUUAGAGAAGAUACGUAUGCAUAUGAUGCGAUGUCCUAGCGAGCAUGUUCCCCAUCUCCCCGAACUACGUCGACUCUGAUGUUUGUUUCUGACAAACUACGUAGGCCCAGGAUGCGACAUCCUGCCGAGUCCCCUUCCUCUGUCUUCUUUCACAUGUUUAUCAUUCCAGUGUGUGUGCAUUCUCUUUGAGCAGUUAUUCAGCAACCUUAUUCUUUUCUUUUGAGCGUGGAUCCCGUCGAGUACGACGGACGUGAGGGGUGCUAAUACCUUCCCCUUGCGUAACCGACUCCCGUACCUAGCAAUCUCUGGUCGUAAGACCGUUCCUUUCCAUUUUCAGGUUUACUUCGAGCGUUUCCUUUCCCUUCUUUGGGAUAAAUAACGCACGGUGGCGGCUCUGUGUGUUUUCCCGCCGGUUGUUUUUCGCGAUGCGACAGAUAUCAAUUGACACAUCCAAUUCGUCUUGAUCAACAUAGGUUCCAGAGCCCAUUGGUGUUGACAUUUCUUUACAACCAUCCAUUUCAAAUCUCUUUAACAGCUCUUUGCAAUACUUUGAUUGGUUGAUAAAAAUUCUGUCUUUUAGUUGCUUGAUUUGCAAUCCAAGGAAGUAGUUCAUCUUUCCCAUCAUAGACAUUUCAAAUUCACCUUGCAUUAUCAACGCAAAUUCUUCACAUAGUUCUUUGUUGGUUGAACCGAAAAUUAUGUCGUCUACGUAGACUUGAACAAGUAAGGUAUUCCCUUUUAUCUACUUGAUAAAUAAAGUCUUGUCUACUUUGCCUUUUUCAAAACAUUUUUCACAUAGAAAAUUACUUAGACGAUCAUACCACGCUCUUGGUGCUUGUUUUAAUCCAUAGUGCGCUUUCUUCAAUUUGUAUACAUGUGAAGGAUUCUUGAAGUCUUCAAAGCCCGGGGGUUGUUUGACAUAGACUUCUUCGUUGAUGUAGCCGUUUAAGAAGGCGCUUUUGACGUCCAUUUGAAAAAGUGGGUUGUUUGACAUAGACUUCUUCGUUGAUGUAGCCGUUUAAGAAGGCGCUUUUGACGUCCAUUUGAAAAAGCUGAAAAUUCAUUGAACAUGCGUAAGCAAGUAAUAAAUGAAUAGCUUCUAACCUUACAACCGGAGCGAGAGUUUCUUCAAAGUCGAUUCCUUCUUCUUGAUUAUACCCUUGAGCGACCAAUCUUGCUUUGUUUCGAAUAAUUAUUCCAUUCUCAUCAAGCUUGGUCUUAAGCACCCAUCUUGUUCCAAUGAUGUGCUUACCACUUGGUCUGGGAACAAGUUCCCAAACUUGAUUUCUCUCGAAUUGGUUUAAUUCUUCUUGCAUAGCAACAAUCCAUUGAUCAUCUUCUAGAGCUUCAUCAAUUUUAGAGGGUUCUAUUUGCAAAACGAACGCCAUGUUUAAGCAUGCAUCCUUGAGAUUCAAUCUUGUAACAACACCUUGACUAAUGUCACCAAUUACUUUGUCAAUAGGAUGAUCUCUAUGAGUCCUCCAUUCCUUAGGUAGAUCAUUUUCAUUUGACUCUUGUUGAAUCGGUGCUUCUUGAUUCUUGUUUGAAGUAUCUUCUUUAGGAACUUCUACAAAAUCAUCAUCAUCAUCACAAACAACAAUUUCCUUUUUCGAGGGGUUAGAUUCGUCAAACUUAACAUGCAUGGAUUCUUCUAUAUUUAAAAUUCUUUUAUUAUAAACUCUAUAUGCCUUACUUGUAAGAGAAUAACCAAGAAAAAUACCUUCAUCCGAUUUUUCGUCGAACUUACCAAGGUUGUCUUUGUCAUUGUUUAGGACAAAGCACUUGCAUCCAAAGAUGUGAAAGAAAUUCGUCGAACUUACCAAGGUUGUCUUUGUCAUUGUUUAGGACAAAGCACUUGCAUCCAAAGAUGUGAAAGAAAGAAAUGUUGGGUUUCCUUCCUUUGAAGAGUUCAUAUGGAGUCUUCUUUAGGAUAGAUCUUAUGUUAACUCUAUUGCUUACAAAACAUGUCGUGCUAACCGCAUCCGCCCAAAAAUAUUUAGGAAGAUUUGAGUCGCUAAGCAUUGUUCUUGCAAGUUCUACCAAUGACCUAUUCUUUCUUUCAACUACUCCAUUUUGUUGUGGAGUCCUUGGAGCCGAAAAGUUGUGAAAUAUUCCUUGAUCUUUGCAAAAAUCUUCAAAGGAUGUAUUCUGGAAUUCUCCACCAUGAUCGUUUCUUAUGGAGGCAAUUGUUAAUGAUUUCUCAUUUUGAAUCUGCUUUGCAUACUUCUUGAACGCUUUGAAUGCAUCACUUUUCUGCACUAAAAAGAAAGUCCAAGUAUAUCUAGAAUAAUCAUCAACAAUAACUAAAGCAUAUAAGUUACCUCCGAAGAUUCUUGUUCUUGAUGGACCACAUAAGUCCAUGUGUAACAAUUGUAGUGGCCUAGAAGUGGACACCACAUUUUUGGAUGUGAAAGCUGACUUGGUUUGCUUCCCCUUUUGACAUGCAUCGCAAAGCCUAUCUUUGAUAAAUUUUAUCUUUGGCAAUCCAAUGACAAGGUCAUGUUUUACUAACUUAUUCAAGUGCUCCAUGUGAAUGUGAGCAAAUCUCUUAUGCCAUAACCAUGAGUCGUUGUUAUUUGCCACACGACACUUAACCUUCAAAGAAACAUCGUCAAGGGAAAUCAUGAAAAUGUUAUUAAUUCGCUUACCUAUAAGCAUUACCUCUUGUGUGACUUUGUCUUCAAUUAAACAUUCAUCUUUUGUGAACCUAUAAAACUUAGGAAACAGUGUUUCAACCGAAUACGAAUUCUCCAUGUGCUUUAGUCCUUCGACAUAUAGCACAUCUUCGAUGGAUAUGAAAUUUGGUGCACCUACUUUGCCUAUGCCAAGACUUCUUCCUUUGUUGUUAUCUCCAUAAGUAAAAUAAGCCUUGGCCUUAAGCUUUAGAUCUAAAAAUUUGUGCACGUCACCGGUCAUAUGCUUGGAGCACCUACUAUCCAAAUACCAAAGAUUUGUUGUGGCCUUCAAGCAUACCUACAAAACAAAGUUAAAUUUUGUUAGGUACCCAAAUUGCUUUGGGUCCUUUACAAUUAGUACCUUUUUCAACCCAUACAUAAU
rnacentral:lncRNA from 1 species